AGGUUGAAAUGGUAUAGGGGAAGAAAUCGUUGGCCAUAUAUGGCUACGAACUCCAUUGCCGCAAGAAUGUAUUCAAACUCCUCAUUUGACAUGUAGUAAGGAAAGCUGACUCUUGUCCAUCCAGGUUUUACUCCUGUGUAGCCCUGCAAUCAAACUUUGCAAUUGGCAUUAGAUAAGUUGAAUUAUAUUUUAUCUUUCUUUCAUUUGGUCCCAAAAAAAAGGAAAAUUUUGUACUGAUACCCUGUUAAUAGCUUCUCUUAAGGCAAGGGAUCGAGUCUGAUCAAUAUCAAGUAAACUGUGGCCAUAAGGUCCAGCACAAGCACAUCCACCCCGAGCUUGGAUGCCAAACAGAUCAUUUAGGAGGGUUGCAACAAAAGGGCCAUGGAGAGGUUUAUCCCUCUUGUUCCCAGUCUCUCCCCACAUGAAAAGUCCCCUCCCCUUUUCCUCUGCCUGGUCAACAUUAUUACCAUCGUUGGUUGUGGAGUAGACGAGGAAAGACAGUAUGGCUUGUCUUUGGGUCUCGGUGCUUGCAUUUCCUAAAACCCAUAUGUUUUGGUUUGGGAGAAGCCUCUCCAAUGCUUGAUUUAUGUACGACUUCUCCUGCUUUGCAAUCACUUCAUAACCAAUAUAUUCUUUUACCCAAAAAGCCAAUGCUGCUCUAAUAAUCUGAAUUAUUUGAGGAGUCCCUCCAUUUUCCCUUUCUUCUAUGUCACCUGCAUAUAAUGUGUCCUGCAAAAUAAAAUUCCCAUUUUACCACAUAUUAAAUUGCAUACCUGCGUCUCUAAAUGCAAGGGAAUGAGCCUGACCGAUAUCAGGAUAACUUAUCAUUCUCUGGAGUAUGGUUCCAUUUACCCUGUUGUGCAGUUAAUGCCUGUAUUCCUUACCAAACACGUGUAAUAACAAGUAUAUGUCUACUAAGAAAUUUGGUCGGAAAUCGCUCUUCUUCUAAAAUUGUAAUUAAAAUAAAUAUUUUUUAAAGACUCACUAGUGGAGAUUUAAACCAGCUUAAUCUGAAUCAGGAAUUUAUUUCUAGACUCCAAGAAGCCCAACAGCUACCUACCAAAUCAUUCUUUAUGUCUUCAGUUGAAGAAGGAAACCAAAUUUCUUACAAAAUGGGAGAUAUAACCAAGAACAAAAAAAAAAAAAUGAUAAAGCAUAGACAAUUUUCCAUUUUAUAGUAGAGAAGUUAACAAAAAAUAAAAUCUUUCAUCUAUUAAAUUGAAUUAAUCUGAACACAUAAAUAUAAUAAAAAUCUCUUCAUUUAUUAUCAAUUAAUUUUAAAUUAAAUGGAUUAAUUUAAAAUUAAAUAUCCAUUCUAAAAUUUUACAUUGAAAAUAAAUUCGAGAGUAAUUACCUGUUCAUUGAAACCAUUGACAUAAUUAACAGUUCCACCUCCACAAGUUGAUGGAGGAGAAGAUCCUAACUGAUAGAGAGCGUUGCUCAUUAGAAGGAUGCCGGGUGAUCCAGGGCCACCUAAAAACUUAUGUGGACUAAGGAAAAUAGCAUCAUAUCCAUCAAUCUCCCCUGACCUCAUAUCAAUCUCCACAUAUGGACCACUAUCCACGGAAACAAAAUGAUAAGCACAAUAAAAAAUGAAACUUCUCAUGGUUUUAACAUUAACACAAUAUAGAAACUUGGUUAAUAGUUGCGUCAUCUAAAAUUAAAAUAUUAAAAUUUUAAUUUUAAUGAUUAGAAUUUAAAUUCUGCCAAUCUCAAAUUUAAAAAUUUGGCAACAAUAAAAGCAAAUUCUUAUUGUGUACCUUGCUGCAAAAUCAAAGCAAACAAAACCUCCAUACUCGUGAAGAAGUUUGGCAAUCUCUCGAGUAUCUGGUUGAAUCCCAGUCACAUUACUACAAGCUGAAAAUGAACCAAGCAAAGGCCUAUUGGCGUGUUUAUACAACUCAAGCUGUUGUCUUAGUGCAUCAAUGUCCAUCAACCCAUUCUCAUCUAAACCAAUCUCCACAACUUCAGCAAGGCUUUGACGCCAAGAAAGCAAGUUGGAAUGGUGCUCGUAGGGGCCAAUAAAAACUACCCAUCUACUCUCAUUGAUUAAGCAAUUUAUUACCCCGUCCCUCAAAAUUGAUGGUACCGUAAUCCCCAUAACUUCUUGUAGCCUUUUAAUAGCAGCCGUAGUGCCUGAGCCACAAAACAGAAUUGCAUCAUCUUGGCCACCACCUAGACAUCUUUUAAUGUAGUUUGAUGCUUCAUGCACCAUUUUCGUCGUUCUGUACCCCACAAAACUGUCACACGUGUGAGUGUUCCCUACGCAAGAACGAAGCAAGAUCAGCUGACAAAUACUAGAAAACCAUCCCCCCCCCCCCCAAAAAAAAAAAAAUUAUACUAGAAAAUGGCACAUCAUUUUUGUUGAUUAAGUCAGAGUACCACAAUUGAAGAUCAGAAACAAAAAACCUUUACCAUAGAAUGGCAGAACAUUGGUGACGAUGAAGUUUUCGAUAUAGUGAAGAGAGCGAGCCGAUGAAGUAUGAUCAGCAUAAGUAAGUUUUCUAGUUCCAAAAGGAGAGUCAAAUUCUGCAUCACCACCAAUGAUUUGAGAUCGUAGCCAAGACAGCUUUUUCUCGGUGGAGCCAACCUUUGGCACACCCAUCUCUAGAGUCCUGAAUGACUCCGAACCUUGACAGAGUUUGCUGGAAACAUAGGAACAGCAUGUUGAUUCUGGUGACGUAUCCCUGUCACUACUGGUUGAAGUCUUACUAUCAUUUGCUGCGUUCAAUUUCGGGGCUUCAGUUGUUUCUCUAAACAUGGGUUGCUCUAACUCCAUUUCCCACCUAGAAAAAAUGAUUAAUGGCUGUUUUUAAUGUUGUUGUAGCUUAUGACGGGAGAAAGAAUGGAAAAAAUAAGAAGAAUGACAGGGAAGGAAGGCAGAAGCGGUUAUUUAUAUACUAGUUUUUUUUUUAUUGGCUGUGGGUGUCAACUAGAAGCCCAUCGAAAUCAACUGCUACUACCCAUGUAAUUUCUAUGAACAAAUAUCCACGUUCGUUCCCUGUUUCGAUCUACCAAGCUGGAUUUAUAAUUUUUCUCAAUCAUUCUAUCUCUUUUUUUGGCUAGUCGCUGAAAUUGACGUUGAAAUUUUGGAUUUGCAUAUACAUUUUUACUAUUAGAAAAAGGUCUAAACCGACAUAUUUGGAAGACAUUAGUAAAAUUUGACAUGAUUUCACCUCGUAUACAAUAUAUAAUAAACCAUAUUUGAUAAAGAAGAAAAAUAAAAGAAAAUGAAAUAAACAUGCAAAGGACAAAUAUUUUUCUUUCAUUUUGAUUUGAUUGGUGCGAACGGUGAAAAAUAUAAAAAAUAAUAAUAAUUUAAGUUGAAACAUUAUUUUUGGAAAAAAAUAAUAAUUUUUUCUUACACGCCUUUCACUCCUUUUCCUCUCACGAAACAACACGAUAGGACAAGGAACGAAUAAAAUACAAAGUACACGGUUUCAUUUAUUUAAUUAAUAAAACAAAAAAAAUGAAGUCGUCGGCGGACGGGGCUUUGACUCCCAAACCAUGGCCUCUGCACACCAAUAAGAAAAAUAUAGUUGGCUCAGAAACAAUGGGAUCUCUAAAUAGUUUGAACAAAACAAACUACAGAAAAUAGUAAGUCUUAAAGAGUUUUCAAAUUUCUCUUUCCUCUCCCCUAACGUUUAAAAGCAAAAGCACAUUGGAAUUUUUGUUAUUCUUUAUUUGAGGUUUUUCUUUUCUUAAUUAUUAUCGUCAUUUUUAGGUGGACUGUAGGAUACAGCAUUUACAGCUGAAUUUGGUCGGUGACUAUGGUCGGUUUUUGAAUGCUGGUUUGCUUUGUUUUUUUUUUUUUUGUUAUUAUUUAUUAUUUAUUUUUUUAUAAAUUGUAUUUAACAAAAUAAAGAAUAAAAUAUCUAUGAAAUGGAAUUGCCUCCUGUUAGCUUGAGCUUUCAAAAAUUCAUCCAGAUAAAGAUCCGACAAAGUUGGCUGUUUGACGGGGACUUCAUCAUUUAUAUUAUACCAAAUAGCCCGUGCAGCUGUUAGAAUAACAUUGAACCUUUCCUGCUCGACUUGUUCUGCCACUCGGCGUAUCCAAUCUGCUACUUUAAUUAGGAGAGCACUGCUACUUAGCCAGUAAAUGAUACAUUCACGUUCAUAUUCAGUAAGUUAUUUAAAAUUGAUUAAAUAAAUUUUAAAUUUUGAUUUAAUUACUAUUGAGUUAAAUUUAAAUAUUUUAAUAUUUGAUUUAAUAAAUCGUAAAUUUAAUCAAAAUUUUAUAUUUUAUAUAUUUUUAUUAUUUUAAUGAAAAUAUUAAUAUUUUAUUUUUAUAUAUCAAUUUAAAUUUAAAUUAAAAUAUAAAUAAUUAAAUUUAAAAUAAAACAUGAAAUCAAAUUUUUUUAUUUGAUAAAUGAAUCUAAUAAAACAAAUUCAAAAAAUUUAAUUUUUAUCUCAAAUUAAAUUUAAAUUUAAAAGUUAAAAUCCAACUAAAGUCAAACCAAACUUUGAAUAAAACUCAAGCUUCAACUUCUCAUUUCGGCUGAGUACGCUUUAUACUGACUGUCACGUCCCACGCAGAACCCAAUCUGUUCCAUGCUUCAGUCAAAACAGGGCAAUCGAAUAUUGCAUGCAACACCGAUUCCCCUGCCUCUUCACAUCUUGGACAAAUUCCAUCCACAAGAAGUUUCUUUCUUUUUUUUUUUUGCAAAGUUGAAUUUCAUAGGUAAGAAUCCAUCAACUUGACACCGCAUCCGGUGUUGGUCUGACUGUAAACAGUUAAUUACGAUCAAAUUUAUUAUAAAAUUUUAAAAAAUGUUUUUUUAAAAAAAACUAAAAACAAUUACCGUAUCGGUAAGUUGAGGCUGGAUCAGCGUUAGUACGGCCGAAAACCACCUUAAACAUGCUCGAAUAUUCUAUCUCUCUCCUUUUUUGUCUCUUGUUUCUUCCCUCGCUUUUUCUCUCCCUAAUUUAGUUUUUAUUUAAAAAAAAUUUCCACUCUUUUUUUCUUCUUGAUUCUUCUCUCCUUUCUUUAUUUUUUUCAACCCUUUAUGCAAAUUCCAAAAUAAUUUUCACAAAUGAACAAAUUUUGUCAUUCAUUGAAUCCCUUAAGCGAUUAAAAAAAGAAAAGAAAAUUAAAAUUCGUCUCCAUAUAGAAGCAAUUGGCUGACACAUCUCAACCAAUUGCCUCCUUCGGAGAUAAUUUUUAUGUUAGUUAUAGAUCUUAACUAAUUGUACAACAUUUCAACUUAUAUUGUAUUACAGGAGAAUUAAAAAUUGAGAAGAAAGUUUCUUGCUUCAUAUGCUCUAAGUUAUGUGAAUAAAAAAUAUAUAUCAAGAAGCAGUUUAAUACAAGUAGAGAACAAGAAGCAAUUUAAUACAAGUAGAAUUCUGUUUUAUUUUAAAACUAAAUUGUGACUCAUGUGAUACACGAAAUAAUUUUAUUUAUUUUAUGUAUAAAUAUAUAUAAAUUAAUUUUUUAAAAUUAUAUUUAAAUUUAAAAAAUUUAUAACAUAUAUAAAAUUUUAAAUUAGACUAACUUGUCAUAAAAAAAUAAAUUUUUUUAAAAGUAAAAAAGGGACAUAUUUGUCACCUUACACCAUUUUUUAUUUGCAAUAAUAUUUAUACAUUUUGAAUUUUAUAUCAAAUAAAAAUAAAUUAUAUGUCUUUCUUAAAAGAACAAAAACAUAUAUAUAUAUAUAUAAUAUAUUAUCAAAUGAUGAAUUAAAUAAUAAAAAAAUUAUAAGAAUAUUUUCAUUUUAUAAUUUGUUCAAAUUACUAUACAAAAUAUGAAAAAUGUUAAGAGAUAUGUGAAAAUAAAAAAGAAAAAAUUUGAAAAAAAAUUAAUUUCAUAAGAAUAAACUUAUAAAAGUAAUAGAAUAUACCUUGAAAAAAGAAAGAUACAAAUUGAAAAAAUAAAUUGCAAUAACAAUAAAAUAUUAUUUUAUUUAUUUAAAUGUGUAUAGAUACACGAAUUAAUAUUAUUUAAUUUACAUGUUUAAAGUAUAUAUAAAUUAAAUAUAGCAAUUAGGUUAUAACAUAUCUUGAGUUGAUUUGUAAAAAAUGGGAUAAUUAUGAAAAAAUAUAAAGUUAAUUAAAAAUCAAUUAUUAAAUAUAAAAUAUAGUAGUAGUAAUAGGUAUUACUAUAUGCUCUUUCAUUCAUUUUGUUGUCCAAUUUUAAUUUAAUAUAAAGCUAACACAAAUAUGUUAAAUAAAAACUUAAAAAAUUUCAUUUGUCCAAAAAAUUAGCAUGAUUCAUGAUUUAUCAAUUUUGUAUCACUUCAAGCAUAAAUAUUCACAAUUCAAGACCAAUGUAGCAAAAAAAAAUGUAACAUGAUUUUCAUAUGAUCAAAGAAAACAAUAAAGAAAUGUUGUCUAAUAUACUAAAGAAGAGAUUUGAUAAUUGUGAAUUUAUAUAUUUACCUUAAAAGGUUUAUUGUUAACAAUAUAAAAAUACAAGCAUCUUAGAAAGCUGGGACAUUUCUCUUUCAACGAGGAAAUUAUAAUUGUUUAUAAUUUUUCAUUAGAAAUGAGAGAUUUUUUGUUUAGUUUUAAAUUUCUUAAUGUUUGUGAUCUGUUAAUAAAUUAUAAGUGAUAAAAUAAAAUAGAUUUGUUUAAUUUUUAAUUUAAUAGAUUUUUGUGAUUUUUAAAUUGAGAGAGAAUAAUCUUUGUAUUUUAAAUUAUUAAAAAAAGAAGCAAAAUAGUUACUAAUAUUCGAAUGCAUCUUUACCAUUAUCUUCCAUAGGAAAUAGUGAUUUGUGAAAUAUUUUUAUUGUGAACUUAAACAAUUUUUAAGUUUAAUUUUUUUUAAUUUUAAAAGUAUUUGAAAAUUAAAUAAUUGAUUGAAAAAAAUUAUUUGAUUAAAACAAUUAAAAUUUAAAAAAUAUAUUGCAUGUCAUUAAGAUAAGUUGUACAAUGAGCAUCCACAUAAGUGUUUUUUAUUUGAUUUUCGUGUACUUUGUUAUAUCUUUACACUUUCCAAGAGAACUUCAUAAGUAUGCUGAGGUUUUAAAUGGUUGAGUAAGGAAGCCUAAAUCUUUUCCAAAUAAUCUAGGUGGGGAGCCACAUACCUUAAAGAUUUUAUGCAGUUGUUCAACCUGCCAAAUGGGGGAGAAACCAAUCUACUUUAGCCGUCUAAGAAGUAAAUAUAAGUGUAAGACAAUCAAUAAACAAUGAAAACCUAUAUGAAUUUCUGUUUCACUGCUUAUCUGAAUAGUCAGCAUAAUAAGUGUAAGACAAUCUACUUCAACUACCUGAUAUAAUGCAAUGUCAAAUAAUUCACAUACUAUAAAUGUUGAACUUAACUUAGUUGAUUUAUGCAGUUUCCUUUAAAGGUGACAUUUAGCAUAUCUGAUUCAAAUUCCAAUACCUAUAAUUCUUUCUUUAUCUUUGGACUUGCGGUUUCCUUGGAUAAAAAAAUAAUAAUUUGAAUAAUAUAAAAGAUAAUACAACAUGACAACACAAUCACCUCAAUUCUCCCUUUAAGGAUAGGCUUUCCCAUAAGAAGUUAUGCAAAAACACAGCCUAAACUCCACAGAUCCACUGAGACUUCAUAACUUGUUGAUCCCAUCAAAAGUUCAGGAGGGUAAUACCAUAGAGUUAAUACUCGACUUGUUAAUCAUUGCGUGUUCCUUGAAGUAAGGAUGUUUGCCAAUCUAAAGUCCCCUAAUUUCAAAAUUCCUUGAUUAUUUACCAAAAUGUUAGAUGCUUUAAUAUCUCAAUGCAUUAUACCUUGCAGAUGGCAAUACUCAAGCCCAAUAAUAGCUGCUUUGUAUAGCACUUGACCUAUACAUGAAGGUGAACCUAAAACUGAACUCAAACAUCCAAGAAUUGAAGAAAAGAUCAUAUCAUGACCAAAUAACAUAAUAUUAUGCUUUGCCUGUCAACUACAACCAAAAUCUAUGGUUUAAUUUCAAACUUAUCAUAAGAUACAAAACAAACCUGUGCCUCACUAAACUUGACAUUAGGAGAAAAAGAUAGGCUAGCAAGAUCAUGCUCCCUGUACUCAAAUAUAAGAUAUACAAUACUUGAAAACCGAGAUAUGAUUACCCCUUCCAAUUCAUGAUAUUUGGAUGGUCAAGCCUGCGUUAGGAAUUAUGACUUCUCGAGCCAUAAACCUUAUGCUUUUGGUUUGAAAAUGUCAAACUACACCUUCUUUCAAGUUACAACAUUCCUCCACAGUUUUCAACUUUGCAUGGCUGGGAAUACACUACUGGCAUUCUACCUUGUCUUAAUCUACUGUGAAUAUUUUAGGAUUGAAGAAAAAUUCUUUGUCAAAAUUCAAGAUGAACAAUGACCAAAUUAUGAAACCCUCACCAAUAUCUUUUUAACUUGUAAGGUAGAUUAUAUCCAAAAUUUAAAAUUUGUUAAUAAGAGAGCCAUAAAUUUAAUAUUUUUUCAGAUACAUAUUAUAUUUAAAAAUAGUUUUAAUUUAUAUUUGAAUUUUUUUUUUAAAAUCUAAUCUUUUUAUGAUAUUUUAACGUGUUAACUCGCAUAAUUUUAAAUAUUUUUAAUAUAAAAGAUUUUAUCAUUUACUUGAAUUUUGGUAAAGUGCACAAUUUUAUGGAUUUUUUUACUUGUCAAUAGAAAAAUUAUUCCACAUAAAUGUUCAUAGCACCACACUUAUCUAGUAAAUUUGUAUCUUGGAAUAAUAUAUAUAAAAAAUAUAUGAUUGUCUUCCAUUUUAAAUGUUGAAAGUUUUGGAUAAGUAAACCAAUUUAUAUAUGAGCUUAAUCUUCCACUUAAAUUUGGAUAACUUAAACAAAUCUUUUAAAUAUAAUUUUUAGAAUAAAUAGUUUAAAGUUAAUAAAUAUCUUAUGCGUUUUAAAAAGAGAAAUUUUAAGAGAUUUUCUUAUGUGUCAAAAAGAAAAAUGUCUAUCCACAUCAGUAAAUUUUAUAUGAUAAUUAUUUUAUGUUUAUAAUAUAUUAUAUAUAUAUAUUAUGAUUUAUGGGCUAUAAUAAAUACUAUAUCAAAAGAAUUGGUUGGCUUGAUUUUUCAAGUUUGGUUGAUUUUGCAUUAACUAAAUAUUUAAUAUAUUUAAUAUAUAUUAAUAUUUAAUUAUGGUUGGUCUUCCAUUAAUGAAAUAAUUAAUAUAUAUUAAUAUUUAAUUAAUGGCACUUGCACCUGACACUUAAUAGUAAAUAAAAUAUUAUUUUAUUUAAAGUUUAAUAAAUAAAAUAUUAUUUUAUUUUAACUUAAAUUUUAAUUAAGUGUGUGAUUAAUUAAGUUUGUUCAAAAAUAGACAGACACUUAAUUUUAUACAAAAAUAGAAAGAUAAAUUUAUUUAAAUCGACAAUUAUAAUUGUUAAAAGGCAGAUAGUUUUUGUUUAUUCAAAAUAGAUAAUUAUAUCAAUAGGAUAAAAGGACACUUAAUUAUAUAUAUAAACUCAUCUUAUUUUCUAAAAAAAGACACAAAAACAAUUAUUAGAACUCUCACUUUUUUCACUAAACUUUAGAUUUCCUUUUAUAAAGUUUUCUGUAUAUAAAGUUUUGCUACAAAAAAUCUUAUAAAAAUUCAUUAAUUUUGUAAUAUGCUUGUGAAUGCUUGGUUGGUUGAUUUUGUUAGUUUAAAACGUAAUUAGUUACUAAGUUUCAUUAUAUCAUCAAGAUUUAUGACCUGCAAUCUCUUUGCACACUUAUUAAAUAAAUAAUAUGGUAAAAGUGAAUAAAACUUUAAAAAAAAAACACUGUUACAUGCUUUGAAACAUUUUCUCAAAAUUUCAGAAUUUAACAAAAAUAAUAAUUUUAGAUUCACAAUUUUUGCACUAACAAUAUUUUCUAAGUUUUAAAAUAAUUUUAAUAUUGAUAUUACCUGAGCUUUAAAAUUUUAGUCCAAUGAUAAUGGUACUACCUUUACUUUUUGGAUUUUGAAAUUUUGAACUAAUGAUAACUGUAUUAAAUUUUUUCUGUUAAAUCUGAUUUUUUUGGUUGAAUUUGUUGAUAUGAUUUUUUGAUAUUGAAUUUACUAAUUAGACAAAAUUUAUCAUUUAAUUGUUUGUAUUUUGAUAAUUUGAAUUUUUGGUAAAAUUAAUUUUAAAAAUGCCAUGUUUAAUUGUUUGGAUUUUGAUGAUUUGGAUUUUUGGUAAAAACUAAUUUUAAAAAUGCCAUGUAAGUUUCUUAGUGACAGAUUGACAUGUUUUUGGACUGGUCCAUCAUUUAAAAAAUUAUAUUAAAUACAAAUUUAAUAAAAAAUUAAAACGUCUUAUUCAAAUAAAAUACUUAGAUUAACCCAAAAUCCAAAAUUUAUUACUACCACUUUCUUUUUAGAACAAAAAAAAAUAAAAUUGAAGAUAUCCAUUUCAUAUUAUUAGUACAUUCUCAUAUCCAUUUGUUCUCAUCUGCGUAAUACAAAAAACUCAAUCUUUCUUUCCCUUCCUUCAUUAUACCAAUCCAAUGUUCUAAACAACCAAUCUUCAUCAACCUUCUUCUAAUUAAUGCUUCCAACUUGACAGAAACCCAACUUAUUAGUCUUUAUUAAUAAUCAAAACUCAAAACAUAAAAAUAAUAAUCUAAAAAGAAAAGAAAAUCCCAAAAGCACUUUUCUACAAUCUGCAUCCCCUGUUUCACUCUUAAUUUCAUGGAAUCAACUCCAAAGAAAUUUGGGUAUUUCGAACUAUUUGCAUCAAAAGUAGCAUUUUGGUCGUUUUGACUGAAAUGGGAACAUUGUGAUGGAAGUUCAAAAGAACGGAAGAGCAAAAACCCACCGUUCAAAAGCACAAGCCGUUUACUUGUAUGGUUCAAAUAUCACAUUUUCAGAAACCAUUAUUACUUGAAUAGCUUCCAACUAAGCGUACAAUUCUCCUUCUUAGGGGAAUCAGAAUGUCGGUACAUUUUAUGUUUACUGUAGUCACCAUCGUUAUUUUUCACUUGUGUUUUUUGUAAUAUGAUAUUGGAGAUUUAAGUUUAUGUGGGCUAAAUAGAAACUCAAAGGAAAAGCUUUAAUAUACUUUUAGAAGAGAGGUUUUUUUAUUUGAGUUGCAAACUCAAGCUUUUAAAUUGAAAAGCCAUGUAUACUUUUUUGUUUAGCAUUGAAGUUAGGUACAAACAAUUUUUGAACACAAAAACUACUUUCAAUAAUAAUACUAGACUAGGUUUAAGUGUUGAGAUUUAAAUCUUAAAUCUAUUGAAUACUAUCUUUUAAGAGUGAUUCUAUAAAUCAACUAAAAUAUAUUUCAAAUUAUAAAGAAUGAGAUUUUAGCAAAAAAAAGCUUUUAGAGUAAAUUUAGAGAUGUUAAAUGAGUUGAGCAACCUAUUGCAUGACACUAUUGUUAUGAUGUGGGUAGUGCUUGUUAGAAAAUUUAAGAAAACAGAAAUAAUAAUAAAAAAAAAUAUGGCUUUGAGGCAUAAAAAACACUAUUAUAAAGACAAUUAUACCUAUAGGAUACAAUAAAUCCUUAAAAAACUCUCUAAAUCAGAAGUAGUAAACUUGGUCAGGUAAAAAGAUCUAUUUAUAAUAAAUGAACGGUUACCAAUCAAGUUAAUUCAAAAAGUUAUGACAUUCUGUAUAAUCAUGUUUUCUUGUUUAAAUAAACUUUAUUUAAUCAAUCAUAUUUUCAUAUUCAAAUAUGUUUAUUCGGACUAUCAUAUUUUUUUUUGUUUAAAUAUGUUUAUUUAGAAUUAGUAAUAUUUCAAAAUAAAAAAAUUAAAGGAUUUAAAAAUUAAAUCUAUUUACUUAACAAGCCUAAGUGCUCCAAGUGCCAAAAUGUAUAGGUGCCUAUCUUUAACUUUUAAAAUUGUCUAACAUCCUAGGAAAAUACCUAGCAAGUCCAAAUGACUUGGCCUACUCUAACACUUAGUUCAAUUACUUAAAUAACAUAAAUAAUCUUUUUUAAACUAUAUAUAAAUGAUCUUUUUACUCAAUAUGAGAUACACUACAUUCUAAACUACCAACAGUGCUUAGCAUAACCUGCUAUUAAAAACUUAGACUAAACCAAACAAGAAAUAUAUAUGUGUGUCGUGCUAGGUUAAAGAAUUUUAAUCUCAUGGAUCAACAUGGCAUGACCCAUUAAGUGCUAGUGCCAACAUGUGACAUCUGAGUUAACACAAUACAACACAUAACCCAAAGGACAUGUGAGCUUGCAUGAACAUACACAAACUCGAAUGAAUUGUAUUUAUAUUAUUUUUAUAUUGUGAUAAAAUUAUAUUACUUUUGGUAUUUUGUUGACAAUUUAUAAAAAUAAAAUUGUAUUAAAUAAAUUUAUUUAUGAAAUAUUUAAAAUUAUUAAUGGUUAAAUUUAUAAUUCUUUCCAUUCAUUUUACAUGCAAAAUAUAUGAUAUGUUACUUUUUAUAAAAAAAAUUCAUGAAAACUAUAUUAUUAGAAAAAAAAACUCAUAAAAAAUAAGUUAUUACGGCAAAAAAGUCGACACUCGAUCUUGUAAUAAUAAGUAACUAAAAUAUAGUUAGAAAGAAAAAAAAAGUGUGAAUAUUAUUAAAAUGUGCAUAUUACUUAAAGAUUUGUUAGAUGAAGAAGUCCGAACACAAGGUAAAGCACAUUAUAUAAAUGAAUUAUUAGAUUAUUGCAAUGAAAAAUAAAAUAAAAAUCUUGUUUCUUACAACAUCUUUUUGUGUAUGAUUUUAAAUAUAGAAGUAUAAAUUUUAAUAUCUUUAUUUAGUGAAUUUUAUUAUCUUUUAUCGUGAUUAUAAGCAUUUGUUGAAUCAUGCAAAUUUUGUGCUUUUAUUUCAUUUUACUUAUAUUUAUCCAACUUGUUAUUUUCAAUAGAUAACAAAAUUUUAAAAAAUACUAAAAUUUAAAAAAGUUAUUAAUGGAUCAUAUUUGACAUGACUCGUCAUAAAAAAUAAUAUCACACUUGGCAUGGCAUUAGGGUUGGUAGUCCAACCCACCAUUGGCGGAUUUCAACCCGACCUAACCUCAUAAGGUUGAUUUUUUUUUUUUUUAUAAAAAAUUAAGUUUCGGGUUGGAUCAGGUUGGGUAAUGUUAAGAAAAAAUCAAGGUCAGAUCGGGUUUGGGUUUUAGGCAAACCCGACUCGACCCGAUAUUAUAUAAAAAUUAUUUUUUUAAUUAAUUAUUUAAUUUUUUAUUUCUAUAUAUUUAUAAAAUUAUAUAUUUUAUAUAUUUAUAUUUUAAAAAAUAUUUUAUAUUUAUAAAAUAAUAUUUUAUUAAUUUUGGAUAGGAUCGGAUUGGGUACGAUUUAUACAAUAUCGGUUCAGGUCGAUUCAGAUAUAAAAAAUAAAAAAAUUUUCGGAUUGGGUUCGAAUUUUAUGAAUAUAAAGUCGGGUCAGGUUCGAGGUGAGCAAAAACCCGUCCCGAUUCGACCCAUUGCCAACCCUACAAUGACAUGUUCCAUGUAAGUUAUAGGUUACAUGCCGUGCUAGGCCAUGUUCAUUAAAAAAUAAUAUUAGGCCAAUAUCAUCUAUUAAUAUGUGAGUUGAUGUUUAAAUACGCUACAUCUUUGACAUAUUUAAAGUGAGUUGUCAAAACGUCUAGAUCCGGGGAUCUAUUGUUAGAUAUUGAUUUGAAGAAGUCACCACCAAUCUUUUUUAUCUAGGUGCGAUUGACCACCUAAGGAAUCUAUCCUUUUAAGGAACACCUAAGCCUAAAGGUCCAUAAAAGAAUAGGUUCAGGUCUACUAACCAGAAUAGGAUUUGAGAGUACGAUUACAUGUGAGGAAGGUUAUAACGCCUUUACAACGCCCAUCGAAAGAUGGUACCAGCUUAAUUUUAUGUUAUCCAAUAAGCCUUAAAAAUUUACCAAGUAAUUAAUUAUUGAAAAAUUAUUCUCAAUUGACUCUAAUACUUUUAGCAAAAAAUUAAAAAAAUUUUCUCACCUUAAGAGUAUGUAAGGAGACUACUGUUUCACUCGCAAAUGCUCUAUUGUGGGAUUAUUUAACAUUAAAGCAAAUUCAAGAAACACAAAGGAAAAGAAAUAAAAAAAAUGAUUCAGCUUUAGAUAUAAAUCAUUUUUUUCUUCAAAAACUCAUUGCUUUUGUACAAGAAAAACUGAUAUCUUCAACUUUUUUCCAAAAUGUUUUUCUAAAACUUUAAUUUCGAGUAAAAUUGAUACUUUCAAUUUUUUCUCAAAAAAACCUUUUUUAGAAAAUCCUUUUUAAAGAAAAUUGAUACUUUCAGCUUUUUCUUGAAAAUAUUUUUUUUGAAAAUUUAUUUUCAAGAAAAAUUGAUACUUUCAACUUUUUCUCAAAAAUAUUUUUUAGAAAACUUAUUUUCAAGGAAAAUUGAUACUUUCAACUUUUUAUUAAAAAUAUUUUUUUUGAAAUUUUAUUUAAAGAAAAUAAAUAAAUAAAUAAAAUAAAAUAAAAUAAAAUAAGAAAUACUAAAUAAUUCUAAUCUAAUAAAUAAAUAAUAAUAAUAAAAUAAAUAAAUAAAUAUAUAAAUAAAAAAAACCUUUUGAACGGCUUAGCUCUAAAUAGAAAGGGCGUCUCGAAAACGCGGUUCGGGCACAUUGGCUCGGUUCGGCUAGCACUAGGGUCAACGUAGGUCAAACGCGAGUUGGUGCUCAGGUUAGGUUGCCCGAUUUCAAAAUGCGUAGAUCUUCUGGGAAUAGUAACGCCAAAACGACGUCGUUUUUAGUAAGUAUAAAAGGUUCUAACCUCUAUUUUUUCUGUAGAUGGUUCUUUCCCUCUCUCUCUCUCUUUUUCCCUCUUUUCUCCUUCUUCUCUCUAAACAAACUAAGAACUUUGGUUGAAUCUCAUCUGAUUCUGAAAAAUGUUAUCGAAAUCUGAAUUUUUCGUCAAAAGUUCAUCGAAAAGUUGGUCGGUUUCUAGAAAGAGUACGCCAGAAAUUGGGUAGCUGGAAGAAAAAUUCAAUCAGUGCCGAAAAAAUCACCAAAAAAUUCACCAGAAUCUAAAAAUUUUUCAAAAAUUUCUAGAAAAAAUUAGCCUAAAAUUCUCCAAAAUUUUUAAAAAACCCCUAAAAUUAUUUCUGACCCUUUUGAACACCUUUUUUUCUUCUCUUUUUACUCUUUCUCUCUAUAUGUUUUGUGUUCUGGUCUUUGUGAUUUCUAGAUCUAUUUAUAGGGAUUGAUUAGAAAAGUUUCUGAUCAAUCCCAACUCCAUCUUGGAUUGAGAUUCAACUUUUGAAUCCAAUCCAGACUCUGAUUGAGUCUCAAAUUCACGGUAGAAUUCUANNNNNNNNNNNNNNNNNNNNNNNNNNNNNNNNNNNNNNNNNNNNNNNNNNNNNNNNNNNNNNNNNNNNNNNNNNNNNNNNNNNNNNNNNNNNNNNNNNNNNNNNNNNNNNNNNNNNNNNNNNNNNNNNNNNNNNNNNNNNNNNNNNNNNNNNNNNNNNNNNNNNNNNNNNNNNNNNNNNNNNNNNNNNNNNNNNNNNNNNNNNNNNNNNNNNNNNNNNNNNNNNNNNNNNNNNNNNNNNNNNNNNNNNNNNNNNNNNNNNNNNNNNNNNNNNNNNNNNNNNNNNNNNNNNNNNNNNNNNNNNNNNNNNNNNNNNNNNNNNNNNNNNNNNNNNNNNNNNNNNNNNNNNNNNNNNNNNNNNNNNNNNNNNNNNNNNNNNNNNNNNNNNNNNNNNNNNNNNNNNNNNNNNNNNNNNNNNNNNNNNNNNNNNNNNNNNNNNNNNNNNNNNNNNNNNNNNNNNNNNNNNNNNNNNNNNNNNNNNNNNNNNNNNNNNNNNNNNNNNNNNNNNNNNNNNNNNNNNNNNNNNNNNNNNNNNNNNNNNNNNNNNNNNNNNNNNNNNNNNNNNNNNNNNNNNNNNNNNNNNNNNNNNNNNNNNNNNNNNNNNNNNNNNNNNNNNNNNNNNNNNNNNNNNNNNNNNNNNNNNNNNNNNNNNNNNNNNNNNNNNNNNNNNNNNNNNNNNNNNNNNNNNNNNNNNNNNNNNNNNNNNNNNNNNNNNNNNNNNNNNNNNNNNNNNNNNNNNNNNNNNNNNNNNNNNNNNNNNNNNNNNNNNNNNNNNNNNNNNNNNNNNNNNNNNNNNNNNNNNNNNNNNNNNNNNNNNNNNNNNNNNNNNNNNNNNNNNNNNNNNNNNNNNNNNNNNNNNNNNNNNNNNNNNNNNNNNNNNNNNNNNNNNNNNNNNNNNNNNNNNNNNNNNNNNNNNNNNNNNNNNNNNNNNNNNNNNNNNNNNNNNNNNNNNNNNNNNNNNNNNNNNNNNNNNNNNNNNNNNNNNNNNNNNNNNNNNNNNNNGCCUCCGUGACGAGGGCGUCACGAGAUUGGGUGCGGGAGAAUGUCACGGACCUAAGGAAGAGUCCUGAAUCCCACAUCGAACAUAAUAGGAGGGUCACUGGGGAGAGUCACUGGGGUAUAUAAGGGUUCACAGCAUCUCUACCUUGUGAUGCACCUUUUGUAGGACAAAACCGUGGGGCCAGGGGGCCAGAGCGGACAAUACCUCACAAGGGUGUGAAUCGAGGCAGGUAGGCUGAUCUGGGACGACGGAUGAGUGGAUGCUUGGGUCUCGGAGCCACGCGGGUUCGAAGCUUAAGUCUCAACCCGUGACAAGUGGUAUCAAAGCUUUAGGCUCUUCUUGGGAAGCAAAAUUUUCAGCCUUAAUUGUUGACUUGUUUAGGCCUUCAUUGCUGAAUCAUGUUUAGGCCUUCAUUGCCGAACCCUUUCAAAGAAAGAUAUCACUACCACCCAAUUUGAGGAAAUGUUAACUGGAAAAAUCACUGGAGUACUACAGAUAUCUCAGAAACAAGGAGAGUUCAACAGGGAAGAGAUUGAAAAGCUGAGAAACUUAUUGAAAAUCCUUGAAAAGCAUACUAUGGUAUGUUCUUUGGGUAAAGUUUCUAGUUCAGGUAAAGCUUCUGGUUCUCAUGGAUUAAAUGUCUCGACUAAGCCUAUUACGAGUUCUUGGGUCAUUGACUCAGGAGCCACAGAGCACAUGACACAUUCCUCACAAAAGUUUAGUACAUAUAACCUGUGUCCUAGUAAUAAGAAAAUUGUUGUUGCUGAUGGUUCACUUAACACAGUAGCAGGAUUAGGAGAUGUUCAAGUUAAUCCUUCGUUUGUUCUCAAAAAUGUUCUUCAUGUUCUUAGAUUGUCUACUAAUCUGAUAUCUAUACAAAAACUUACCAGAGAUUUGAAUUGCAAAGUAACCUUUUAUCCCUCUUAUUGUGAAUUUCAGGACCAGAGUUCGGAGAAGAUGAUUGGACUUGCUAAGGAAAAGGAUGGACUAUACUAUCUUGAGACAUCAAAUAACACAAGUAGUAUCAACAAUAGUUUACCUUUGUCAUUUCUUUCUGAAAAAUCUUCCAAUAAAGACAAAAUCUGGCUUUAUCAUUUUCGUCUUGGAUAUCCUUCUUUUGGAACCUUGAGAAACAUGUUUCCUUCUUUAUUCAAAGGAUUAAAUGUUGAAGAUUUUCAUUGUGAUAUUUGCGAAUUUGCAAAACAUAGACGUGUCUUUUCCAAUCAGUAACAAAAGAAGUUCUACUCCCUUUUACUUGAUUCAUAGUGACAUUUGGGGUCCCUCUACAAUUCCUAAUAUUUCUGGUGCGAGAUGGCUUGUUUCAUUCAUAGAUGAUUGUAUUAGGGUCUCUUGGGUUUUUUUACUUAAAUCAAAAUCAGAUGUGAAUAGUGUGUUUUUAAGCUUCCAAAACAUUAUCUAAAAUCAAUUUGGAGUGAGAAUCAAGAGAUUUAGGUCUGAUAAUGCAAAAGACUACUUCAACCAGAGUCUAUCCACCUAUUUUAAAAAAAAGGGAUUAUCCAUGAGUCAUCUUGUGUUAAUACUCCACAGUAGAAUGGAGCGGCAAAGAGGAAAAACAGCCAUUUACUAGCCACAACCCGAGCCUUUCUUUUUCAAGCAAAUGUACCUAAAUCUUAUUAGGGGGAAGCUGUUCUCACUGCACACAUAUUAUAAAUAGGUUACCUUCAAGAGUUUUGGGAUUUAAAACUCCUAUGGAACUACUCUCACAAUUUUAUCCCAACCUCAAUACCACAAACAAUCUCAUACCUAGGAUAUUUGGUUGUACAUCAUUUGUUCAUGUUCACAGUCAUAACAAGGGAAAAUUGGAUCCAAGAGCGAUUAAGUGUAUUUUUGUGGGGUAUUCUUCAACUCAAAAAGGAUAUAAGUACUAUCAUCCUCCUACCAAAACAUUCUGUCUCUGCAGAUGUCACUUUUGAAGAAAAUAAACUAUUUUUUACUUAACCUUAUCUUCAGGGGGAGACUUCAUUUAUGGAAGAUAAGGAUAAAGACUUCUUUUUGCUUGAUUUGCCCCCUUCUUCAACAUUUACACCCAUUAAUUCUUCUGAGUCGAAACCUGUUUCUGCUGAGCCCAAGUCAAACACUGAAUUUGAGUCUGAACCCAUUUCGAAUACAGAAGAUGUGACAAAGGAUAAUAUCGUUCUUGAUUCUAUGAAGGAAUUACAGGUGUACUCAAGAAGAAAAGUUCUAGAUCUUGAACCAGUGCCAGUCCAAGAACCUGAUCCUAACUUUGGAAAUGAGGUAACUACAGUUUUUGACUCUGUUUCUCAAAAUGAGCAUGAAUCUCCUAAAACUAUAACUAGUGAUUAUGAUUUGCCUAUUGCCAUUAGGAAAGGAACCAGAGAAUGUACCAAGCAUCCACUAUACCCAAUAUCUAACUUUGUGUCAUUCGAAAAAUUCUCACCCUCUCACAAAAGUUUUCUUGUGAGCCUAAACACUAUUUCUAUUCCAACUACAUUAUCCGAGGCAUUAUCUAGUGAGAAAUGGAGGUAAGCCAUGAAAAUAGAAAUGGAGGCCUUAGAAAAAAAUCAGAUAUGGGAACUGGUAGAGUUGCCUAAAGGAAAAAAUCCAGUGGGGUAUAAAUGGGUUUUCACUGUAAAAUACAAGGCAAAUGGUACUGUUGAAAGGUAUAAAGCUAGGUUAGUGGCUAAGGGCUACACUCAAACCUAUGGAGUGAAUUAUCAGGAAACCUUUGCUCCAGUUGCCAAGAUGAAUACAGUUAGGAUUUUGUUAUCAUUGGCUGCAAAUUACAAUUGGCAGCUUCAACAAUUUGAUGUAAAGAAUGCUUUUCUACAUGGUGAUUUGGAAGAAAAAAUAUAUAUGAAGGUUCCACCAGGAUUUGGAGGUCAUCUAGAAGCAAACAAAGUAUGCAGGCUAAAAAAAACUUUGUAUGGCCUUAAACAAUCUCCUAGAGCUUGGUUCUGGAGAUUUGCCAAAGUGAUGCUAGCAAUGGGAUAUAAACAGAGUCAAGGAGAUCACACAUUGUUUAUCAAGCACUCUGAUUCAGGGAGAGUCACAGUUCUAUUAGUGUAUGUUGAUAUAAUUGUAACUGGAGAUGAUGAAAGAGAGAAAGAAUCUCUAAAACAGUGUUUGGCUAGAGAAUUUGAGAUAAAAGAGCUAGGGAGAUUGAAGUACUUCCUAGGAAUUGAAGUAGCUCACUCACAGCAUGGUAUUUUUAUCUCACAACAGAAAUAUGUGAUGGAUCUUCUGAAAGAAACUAAGAAGCUUGCAUGUAAACCUGCAAAUACCCCUAUAGAUCCUAAUCAUAAAAUUGGAGAAGCUAAUGAAGAUGCUGCUGUAAAUAGAGAGAUGUACUAAAGAUUAGUUGGAAGACUCAUUUAUCUCUCACAUUCUAGACCUGAUAUAGCAUAUGUUGUGAGUGUGGUAAGUCAAUUUAUGCAUAGUCCUAAAGAAGUGCACCUACAGGCUGUCUACCGUUUAUUGCACUAUUUGAAGGCCAAUCCUGGGAGAGGUAUCUUAUUCAAAAGAAAUUCGGGGUUAGCUCUAGAAGCAUAUACAGAUGCUGAUUAUGCAGGUUCAGUAACUGAUAGAAGAUCUACCUCAAGCUACUGCACUUUCUUAGGUAGUAAUCUUGUGACUUGGAGGAGUAAAAAAUAGAAUGUGGUGGCAAGAUCAAGUGCUGAAGCAGAGUUCAAAGCAAUGGCUCAAGGAAUUUGUGAACUACUAUGGUUAAAGAUUAUCCUAGAAGACUUGAAGAUCAAGUGGGAUGAACCAAUGAGACUCUACUGUGAUAACAAGUCUGCAAUAAGCAUUACACACAAUCCUGUGCAACAUGACAGAACAAAACACAUUGAAGUAGACCGGCAUUUCAUAAAGGAGAAACUAGACAGUGGGUUGAUUUGUACACCUUAUGUAUCAACCAAGGGUCAACUUGCAGAUGUGUUGACUAAAGGUCUCAGCAGUGUAACAUUUCAAGAAAUUAUUUUCAAGCUGGGAAUGAAAAACACCUAUUCACCAGCUUGAGCGGGAGUGUGGGAAAACACUUAUUUACAGCUGGCUUGUAAUCUUGUAAAUCUGUAUAUUAUAAUAUUUGCUAUCUCUAGAAUAAGUAUUCUGUACUCCCUAAAAUUAAGGAAGAUUUAGUUUCCUAGUUUAACCCCUAGUUAAGUUGUAUAUAAACCUAAGAUUCUUGUAUACCAUUCGAAAAUAAGCUGUUUUUUCAAUACUACCAACUCCAGUUUCCACAAUAAAGACUGUAUCGUUAUUCGGGUACUCUCCUACUCAAAAAGAAGUAUAAGUGCUAAUUGUACAUCCACGGAACAACAUUUGUCUCAUUAAAUGUCCCAUUCUUUGGAAAAUCACACCGCUUUUACCCAAAACUAACUCUCAAGGGGAGAAAGUAGGUGGAAGAUAGGCUUUGGGAUUUUAUCCAUUCCACUUUCUAUAUGCAUUCUACUAUUCCUUUGGGUGCCACCCAACCAAAAGCUAAGUUGAAAACAGGGAUAUAGAUUCAUUUAUACUUAGUCUUCAACAAAAAAACAGACUCUUAGUUUAUUCACAAUGUAAACCAUAGCCUCAAAAAGUACAAACUUUUGUGCCCUAGACACAUUGUCAAGAAUCUAAUCCACAAGUAAAUUUUGAAUCAAAAAAUACUAAGCCCACAACACCAUCACCGAUGAAUACUGAUCCACAAGUAAAUUCUAAAUCAUAAAAUGUUGUGCCUAUCACACCAUCAAUUGUGAAUACUCCGUCUGACGAUCUAGACAUGCCUAUAGCACUCAGGAAAGGUAUAAGAUCAUGCACUCAACACCUGCUGUCUAAUUAUCUAUCCUACAGUCAUUUGUCCACUGCAUUUCGUGCCAUGAUAGGAAAGAUUAAGGUAACUAAAAUCCCACAAGAUAUUCAUGAAGCUCUAAAAAUCCUAGAAUGGGAAGCUGCUACAUUGAAGAGAUGAAAGCAUUGAAAAGGAACGAGACUUGUGAUGUUGUAGAGUUGCCUAGAGGAAAAACAUUGGUUGAAUGUAAGUGGGUGUUUACUAUUAAGCAUAAUUCAAAUGGUAGAAUUGAGAGACACAAGGCCUGCUUUGUUGCGAAAAGAUUUACUCAAACUUUUGGAGUACAUUACACUCAAACCUUUGCUCCAUUUGAUAAAUUGAAUACUAUAAGGGCACUACUUUCACUAGUUGUUAAUCUUGACUGGCCAUUACACCAUAUGGAUGUCUAGAAUGCCUUUCCUAAUGGGGAGCUGGAUGAAUAAGUUUAUAUGGACCUGCCUCUUGGCUUUGAAGGGAGAAACAAUGACAAGAAGGUAUGCAAACUAAAGAAGUCUCUCUAUGGUUUAAAAUAGUGACCAAAGGCUUGGUUUGAUCACUUUACAAAUCAGUAAGGAGACACAGAUUUAGCCAAGGACAAACUGAUCAUACUCCUUUUUUCAAACACUAACAACAUGGAAAAAAGACUACUUUGAUCGUUUAUGUUGAUGAUAUUGUUAAAAUUAAAGCUUUAGAGAACAACUUGCUAAUCCCUUGGAUUAGCCUUUCAUUAUAUAGACAAUAAUAAGGAAAGAUAAUCAAUUACAAAGUACACAUUAAUGUUUCCAAUAAAUCCCUCCUAAACUAUCUCCCAUGAAAUAUUCCCAUAAUAUUCCAACUCACACACACGCAUACACUAAUGCUCCCCUUCAAGCUGGAGCAUAUAUAUAAGUCAUGCUCAGCUUUUACAUAUAUAGUCAACUCAAAACUUCUAGAAGUGAUUUCAUAAGAAUAUCGGCAAGUUGUUCCCCUAUGCGCACAUGCUUCAAUAAUAUUGUUCCACCCUGUAACUUUUCCCUAAUGAAAUGACAAUCAACUUUUAUAUGCUUGGUUCUUUCACGAAAUACUGGAUUUAAAGCAAUGUGAAUCGCCACUUGAUUAUCACACCAUAACUCUGCAAGAGUUCGAACUGAAAGCCCAAUUUCAUCUAAGAAUUGAAUCAUCCAUAAUACCUCUGUUGUAGCCAAAGCCAUCGCUCUAUACUCUACUUCUACGCUAGACCUAGCAACUACUUGCUACUUUUUUCUCUUCCAAAACACCAAAUUACUCCCAAGGAAGAUAGCAUAACCAGAUGUAGACUUACUAUCUAUAGGAAAGCCUACUCAAUCUGCAUCUGCAUAGGCUUGAAUACACCCAUCACUAGUAGAACUAUAGAGUAUUCUCUUUCCAAGAAUUCUCAACAAAUAUCGGAGGAUGGCAUCACUGCUCUCCAGUGAGUAUCUCUAAAAGCUCCCACGAAUUGACUAACCACACUUACUAGAAAAGAUAUAUUAGGUCUCGUCAUGGUCAGGUAAUUCAGUUUUCCCACUAGUCUCUUGUAAGGUGUGGGAUCAUCGAGUAAAGUGCCAUCUUACGGAGAAAGCUUGAUACCUGGAUCCAUCGGUGUGUCACUUGGCUUGGCAUGAAACAAGCCUGCAUCUUUAAAAUAUUCAGAACAUACUUCCUUUAAGAUAAAAAGAUUCCCUUUUUACACCUUCCCACUUCAAUACCAAGAAAAUAUUUCAAUUGACCAAGAUCCUUGGUCUCAAACUGGGACUUUAGAUAAAUCUUAAAUCUGUCAAUCGCUACAUUAUCACUGCCAGUGAUGAUUAAAUAUCAAUCUACCUACACCCCACAUAUAAGGCCAGAAACUCUGCCGCAUAUAAAAAUACUCGAAUGAUCCUUCCUCACUCUGUCGCAUGCCCUACUGAACAAUAGUUGCACUAAAUUUGCUAAAACCACGUGCAUGGAAACUGCUUAAAGACCAUAUAGAGACCUACGCAAAAGCACCCCUCCCCAGCCCCCCUCAGCAACAAACCCUGGAGGUUGCUCCAUAUAUACCUCCUUAAUCAGUCACCAUGUAGGAAAGCAUUCUUCUACAUCCAACUGAUGUAAUGCCCACUUAUGUCUAGGCAGUAAAAUAGAGAAAUAGGCGAAAUAAAUGUCAUCUUUAGCCAUUGGUGAAAGGUAUCAAAAUAAUCCUACUCCAUAACUGUCUGCACGUAUGCCCUUUGCUAACUCGUCUUGCCCUCCAAUCUAGCCAUGAACCAUCAAGAUUCAAUUUGUAGUGUAAACCCACUUGCACCCAACAGCUUGUUUCCCUUCUGGCAGGGAAACCAAGUCCCAUGUAUGGUUGGCCUAGGGCCAUCAUCUCAUCCUCCAUAGCCUUAUGCCAUCCUGAAUUUGCAAAAGCAUCACAAAGAGUACGCGGCACAGUGAUAGCAUCAAUUGUGACAAUACAAGUCUGAAGUUGAGCAAAAAGUCCUUUGUAUGAGGGCAUGUAUAAAGGAAAAUUUCUGCAAGUUCACGUACCUUUUCGUAGAGUAAUCAGUACAUCUUCAGCCACAAUGUCUCAAGGUGGAUCCAUCGACAAAGAGAUUGUCUUGAUAAAGGAAGUUUUCAUAGGUGGAUCUACGUAAGUCCUUUUAUACGUACAACCAAAUCAAGUAUUUGGGCAUGCCUCAAAAGGAGAUGCAUUGACCGAUGAACUAUGUAUUUGAUAAAUGAGAAAAUCUUUUUCUUCUUAUAUGAUAGGUGAUGGAUGAAACUAUAGUAUUGAAGGAAAAAGAACCGACUCAUGAAACGCGACAUCUGCUGAAUAAUAAAGCGACCCAGCUCUAAAGAGUAGCAUCGAUACCCUUUUUAGACAUGUGAAUAACCAAGGAAGAUACAUUUAAGAGAACAUGGGUUUAAUUUAGUGCAACUUGGAUGAGUGUCACAAACAAAACAUGUGCACCUAAACACCUAGAAGGAGAUUGUAAAUAAGGGACGAUCAGGAAACAAUACUUAAAGAGGAACUUUUCCUUUAAGAACCAAGGAUGGCAAAAGAUUUAUAAGAUAGAAUGCUACAAGGACAGCUUCACUCCAGAACACCUUAAGGACCUUCAUUUGAAACAAAAGAGCUCUAGCCACUUCCAACAAAUGAUGAUUCUUCCUUUCAGCAACCCCAUUUUGCUAUGGCGUAUUUGUACACAAGGACUGAUGAACAAUACCUUUUGCAUUUAGGAAUUGAACAACCUCUAUAGAAAAAUACUCUACCCCAUUAUCACUGCAUAAAAUUUUGGUAGACUUAUUGAAUUGAUUCUCUAUUUCAGCAUGAAAGGUAGUGAAGACAAAGAAUAAUUCGGUGUGGCUCCGCAACAAAUACAACCAGCAAACUCGUGAAUAAUCAUCAACAAACGUCACAAAGUAUCUAUAACUAGAUUCCGAAAUAAUAGGACAAGCCCCCCAUACAUUAUAAUGAAUCGCAUAAAGACCUUCAAUCCGUCCCCUACUAAUAGUUUGUUUCAUCAACUAAUCCUGAAAAACACAAUAAGUAGGAAAGAAAGAGACACUACAAUUCAAAUUCCUUGUAAUCUGACUAACUAAAAGUAAGUUAAAAGGAGAAGAAGGGACAUGUAGCACAAAAUGUAAAGGUAAUGUGGAUAUUGGUUGAGUCUUGCCACUUCCCACAACAUCUAUAGAGUUUCCAUCAACAACCAAAACAAACUAUUUCCCUGUCAUAGGAGUAUAUGAAUAAAGAAUACCUGUAGUACCCAUCAUGUGAUCCGAAGCUCCUAAAUCAAUCACCCAAGUCCUAAAAGGGGUAGCCAAGCAUGCAGUAGAUUUACCUUGUAUAAAAGUUAUUGUCAGAGAGGAGAUCGAAGUCUGAUUCUGAAGCAUCCGAAUAAGCCUAUCAUACUCAUCCUGGGAUAACUGAACUCCCUUAUUCUCUUACUACUGGGGCUAAAGCACAGCAUCAGUCACAUAUGCCGGUGGUGGGCCAAUAUUGCCUCAAAGAUGCGGACAAACAUUCCAUAAAUGUCCCUGCUAUCCCCAUUGAUAGCAAGACUGUGGGUCUCUUCUACCACUUCCAUGUCCUCUACCUCUCCACACAUCCUCUGUGUGAUUCUCGGCCUUCACGCUAUGGGGCCAUAAGUACUACCCUAUCUGCAUGUGGAGGAUUCAUGUUGGUUGACCCUAUUCAAGCACUUAUAAGCAUCAGUAGAGAAAGUGGGAUCUCCGCCACUAAUAUCUGAGUACUAGCACCGGCGCACUCCUUCCUCAAACCUGCUAAGAAAAACAUUAUAGCUAGAGCCUCUUGUUGCUCCUGAUUUGUUUCCAAAUCGGUAAACAAGGGCAUGAGUUCAUUAAACUUGUCAUAUACCUCCUUAAACACACAAAAUAUUCCCUCAGGCUCUUACCGGAUUGCUCCAUUCUAGUCUAUGCCCUAGUAACAUCGAAAAUCCUCUGCCAAUUCUCAGAAUUUAUAUAAACAAUUUGUAAAGCAUCCCAAAGUUCUUUCCUUGUGAAGUAUUAAUUGAACAUCACCUUGACUCAUCAUUCCAUCAAGUUGAACUAUUGUCCAAGUACUCGAUUGUCCUCAUGCUCCCACACUGCAUACUCCGAGCUUUCCUUUGUUGGCCGCUCACUUGUCAAAAGCCGAGCCUUUUCAAGACCUCGCAAGGUCACCAACACAGUCUCGUUCCAUGAUAAGUAGUUGGAGCCAUUGAGUUUCUCAUCCAACAACCAUGAGCCCGUGAUAAUCUCCUAAGUUAUCAUAUUCGAUGUGGUUGCCUCUUCCUUAGCCAUGGCUACAAAACCUUCUUCCUCCAAAAUACAACUAGUAAUCCUUCAAUCAGGUAACACAAUCCCAAAUCAACAACCAAGAACUUCGUCCCUAGUUCUGCAACCACACUCUACACCGAAAACUUGUCCUCUCGAUCUAUCAUUCACGAAGAGGUUGCAACCCCUUCUUGCUACCUUUGAGAAUAAAGGGGUGGCCCCCCUUUUAACUAAUGAAGGACUGUUGAAGAGAAAGGAAAAGUUUUAAGUACAUUGCUUUAGGGCUGCGAGAUCAAAGUCUGUAGUAACGACGGUUUAGUUGACGCCGCAAAGGCUAUAGCAGAUGAGUUUGGGGAAAGAGAGAGGUCCACAGCAGCUAGAAUUGCACUGCUAGCUUUGAUACCAUGUUAAAAUUAACGUUUUAGAGAACAAUUUGCUAAUCCCUUGGAUUAGCCUUUCAUUAUAUAGACAAUAAUAAGGAAAGAGAAUCAAUUACAAAUUACACAUUAAUGCUCCCAAUUAAUCCCUCCUAAAUUGUAUCCCAUGGAAUAUUCUUAUAAUAUUUCAACUCACACACGCAUACACUAACAGAUAUUAUAUUGAUAGGUGAUGACACUGAAGAAAUAGAAAGGUGAAAGAAAACUCUUGGAAAAGAAUUUGAGCUUAAAGAUCUUGGACAACUAAAAUACUUUUUAGGGAUGAAAGUUGCAAGAAGUAAGAAUAGCAUUAUUGUUUCCCAAAAGAAAUAUACGGUUGAUCUCUUGAAGGAAACUGGUAUGCUUGGCUAUAAACCAAUUGAUAGACCUAUAGAUCCUAAUGCGAAACUUGGAAAGAAAGGAGGAAUUCCAGUAGAUAAAGGGAGAUAUCAAUGACUAGUUGGAAAGCAGUUCUACUUAUCUCAUACAAGACCUAAUAUUGCCUUUGUAGUUGGAGUAGUAAGUCAGUACAUGCACUACCCAUUUGAGGAGCAUCUUGAAGUUGUGUAUCGAAUCUUAAGGUAUUUGAAGGUCACACCUGGUAAGGGUUUGUUGUUUGAGAAGAAUGAACAAAGAAAUGUGAUAGGGUUUAUAGACGCAGAUUGGGCAGGAUCAAUUGAAGACAAAAUCCACCUCUGGGUAUUGUACAAAGGUUUGGGGUAAUCUUGUCACAUGAAGGACCAAGAAACAAUCUAUUGUUGCUCAAAGUAGUGCAGAAGCAGAAUUUAGAGCUCUUGCACAAGGAACUUGCAAACUUAUCUAGCUGAAGAGACUUUUGGAAGAAUAGAAAAUGACAACUAAAUACCCUAUGAAACUGUAUUGCAAUAACAAGGCUGCUAUAAAUAUUGCUCAUAAUCCAAUGCAUCAUGAUUGAACAAAGCAUGUGGAAGUUGAUAGACAUUUUAUCAAAGAGAAGAUUGAUAUGGGAGUGAUCUAUAUGACCUAUGUUCCUACAAAGGAACAAGUAGCAGAUAUCCUAACAAAGUGACUAUAUAAACCAAGCUUUGAGACUCUUGUUGACAAGCUGAGAAUGAGAAAUAUGUAUUCUCCAGCUUUAGGGGAAGUGUUGAUAGAUUAUGUAUCUAAUCAGGAUCAAUUUCCCAAUUUGUUGGGAUAUAUAUUUUUGGUCUUUUAUUUCUUUCUAUAUUUGGAUGAUUAUGUCCUGAUUAUGUCCUAAUUUUGUGGGUUUCUUUGUACAUAUCGAUUCCUCUAUAUAUUUGGGGAUUCCCUUUUAAUAAAAUAAAACUCAGAGAACAUUGUUUUUAUCUCUGUUUUUCAACUACAAAUAGUCGUCCAUUACCCUAACCUCUAUUCUAUCAGCAGUUACAAAUUUGGCAGAUCAAGGCAACUAGACAGUUUGAACUGAAGAAGAGAAUAGAGAGAAAGGAUAACACCCAAGUCAAAAUGCUUAAGGCCAGUGUUUCACACAUUAGGUCAUAAAUUGAUAAUGCUACACUUCGUGCUUACAUUUAAUCACCAUGAAAGAAUAAGCCAGUGUCUAGGAAAAUAUCAUGGCAAUUAAUUUAUGAAAGAAAAGCAAAUAAAUAUGAACAAGCAACCAAAACCAAAACUGCAUAGGAACAACGAGUACCUCAACAUAUAACUUUCGGAUUUGUGGACCUUUGUCUUCAUCCAUCCCCUAGAACCAUUAAUAGUGUAAAGAACUUAGUAAGUUAAUAAAGCUAUUUAUAAUACAGAGAACAAGAAUAGUUAGUUGAUAAAAGCACCUGGACAUAUAAGUCAUAAAGAUCACAGAUUUUAUCUUCCAUGGCGUUAUCUAUGAUGUAUUGUUCUUUAAGGACUAGUUGUUCUUCAGAACCAAGCACUUCCUGUAAAUCAUCAGUUGCUACAUCCCUUCGUUUAGAUGCCUGGAAAGUUAUGCAUGUUCAUAAGCAAAGAACUAAAACAUGUUAUCAUCAUUUGCCACUGAAUUUGCACAUAUACCAAAUAAUAUAUUGCAGCAUAAGAAUGCCUUUCAUAACAUAAGAUAAAAAUUCGCAGCCAUAAAUGUUUGUAUCACAUUAUUCUCACAGCACUAAAUGAAGAUCAAAGUUUGUCUAUAUUUUGCCACAAGUGCUGCCUCUUCUGAGAAAAAAAGUUGUAUGAUGCUGGUGAUCAAAGUGAUGAUAACCAUAUCAGUCAUUAUAAUACUGAGUAUCAAUGAUGAUAGCAAAAGGGUGUAAAAUUAUUGAAACACCAAUAUAGAACCAAGGCAUCAAAGAGAGGACUGCUUCUUGUGAGAAAGAAACUAAGAACCUACGACCUCAAAGCAUCUAAAAACUAUUUGGAAAUUGCUCAAAGUGAUUUUUGAGGAAACCUGCAAUUUGAUCAUUUCAGUGACCUCCAUUUUAAUCUUUUGAAAUCUAUCAGCUUUUUCCCGCUUCGCAGAGAGUCCCAGUAAAACCAUCUCUCUUAAGUUCCUCUGUAUCCAAACAAUCAAUUGCAGCAAGGGUAAAGAAGAAGGUUAGUAUCUAAGAACAUAAUUAAAAACAUAAAGAGCUUAAAAAGUUAGUUAGGAAAAUGCAACCAUCUUAAUUAUCAGAAGGAGAGAGAGAGAGAGAAUGCAACUAUCCAGAAAACUUGAAAUCAAUCACCGGUUAGACUACUUAAACUAGAAAUUAAGCCAAUGAAGCAUUGUCUUGAUGGCAAGCAGUAGACCUUGGAACUUUUAGGUCCCAUGUUCAAGUCUCAGCCUUUGUAGGUUUAAUUAGUUUGUUUAUCAAUGUCUUAUUGGAUAAAAUGUCUUAUUGGAUGCUAAUUUCUACUUGUACAAGUAAUCUAAUUAAAAUGACACUUGAAAUUCAGAAGUUAUGCUAAUUUCAUUUAUCCUUGACCAAAAUCAGAAUAAUUUCCAAAUUAUAGUAUGUCAAAGGAAUUAACGUAUUGGCAAGGCAUAGAACAGAAUUAAAAAAGAAUUACCCAUAUCACAUAAGCUUAAAUGCUAUUGAUUCAAAAUUUCUUUGCAAAAAGGUUCUCAUAUUUAUGAUAACUUCAUAUAUUGGAGUCCAUAAUAAAUGCAUAAUUUAUCAAUAUUUUAUAUUAAAAAUAACACUUCUAUUCUAUGGAACAUUUCAAUAUCUGUCCCAAAAAUAUCAUAUUCUACACUAAUCUCAAUCUUUUCUUACUAUUAUUAUCAUAACUACUACCAUUCCUACUAACAGUACUAUUCUUUUUUUCACUUAAUUAAGCAUAAUCAAGGGCACAAGGCACACAAAAAGUGCUAAGGCCAUUGUAUUCUGUUAUGGCAAAAUAUGCAAAAAAAAAAAAGUGCUCACCCUAGGGAAGCAAAGCAAAAAUUCUUAAAAGAUUAAUAAAUGGCCAUAAAAACAAACUUAUAUUUAUUAUACCUAAAAACUUGCAUUAUACAAUUUCUUUAAUCAGCAAAAAAGUGCUGACACCAUUCUGUUUCUUAAUGUGCCAUAAAUAUCAAACAUUAGUAAAAGUCAUCAUAAAACUCUAGCUGUAAGUUCUCUCACUUCCAUCACCAGCAAGAAUUUAUACAUGGACGAUAUUAUACUUUCCCUGUACUUGAAAAAGACACGCUCAUGUAUCAUAUUUCUUUGUUGAAGAAACACCAUUGAAGAAAACAUAAGAGAAGCUAAGACACAGGAAUAAGAAUACAAGGUAUGGGUACUGACAUGAUGACAUAGCCAUUUUCAAAAUUUUAAGAUACAAUAACAAAAUAUGAUAUAUGCAUAUAUAACAAACACACUGAACCUUUUCCAACUAUUACAGGGAUCACCUACAUGGAUAUUAUUCCAUAUUUAAAAUCAUAUGCUCAAUCAACUUAGUAAAAAUGAGCCUUUUCUUUCUUUAUGAUAUUCAUCCAUCUCCUAUGAAGCACGAGCACACCUUGCACCCUGUGUGUCCAUGUUGGACACUGUCCAAACACAAACACUCUUCCGACAUGGAGGCAAUGUGUUUACACAUAGAUAACGUAAAAUGGCAUGAAUCAAGGCCAAAGCCCUGUAAGAUUGAACAUUAUAAACAUUUUUCCCCUUUUCUUUUAUCUCUGUUAUAGGAUAUUUCCUUCAAUUCACCAUCACAUUUUUCCAAGAUGCAACCCAAACUAGAAAUAGAUGUAAGUGAGAGGGAGCAGUGUCCAUUCUUCAUAGAAAAGAACUCAAAUAAUGCAUUCUUUUUCUGUGCCUUUUGCAUUUCAAGGCAAAAACUUACUGACGAAAAGCAAGCUGCCUCAAUAAAGACCCCUAGAGAGGUUUAAGUUAUUUUUCCUAGAUUGCACUACACCUUGGCACCUAGGCACAGGGCUUGACUUCACAGCUAAAUUGAAAUUAUUUGCUCAAAUUAAAAUUAUUUGCUCAUAUACAAUAAUGUGACACAAUAAGAAAAUUCGGGAAAAAUAUAUACUAGUAAAUAAUAAAGCAUGUACACAAACACAUAGAUAGAAAUACAUUUAUAUAGAAAAUAGGUAUAUAAUCCAUCAAAAUAUAUAUAUAUAUAUAUACUUACAUUCAAUCAUUGUGGCCGUAGUUGCGUUUUUGGUUGCAUCGCAUUUAUCGCGAUUGAGGAUGAAACAGAUGCUAUCACAAUCAUUGUGCUCAUCGCGAUUGUGAACUUUUUUCAGUUUUGCACAACUUAUCGUAAAGCAUAGUAAUCAUAAUUAUAAUAAUAAAAACUCAUUUUUAACGAUUUUUAAAGUAAUUUAUAACACUCUUAUGAUCUUUUAUUUAUAUGAAAAAAAAUAUUAUUCACAAUUUUUUAUAUUAUGUUAAAACAUUUGUAGUUAGAAAAACACUAAUUCUUAUAUCUAUAAAUUUCUACAAAUACAAUUAUUAAAAAUUAACAAGGUAAAACAUGUUAAAUGUGCUUAUGUCUAUGAAUUGUUGCAAUUCACAAUGUUACUCAUUAAAGAUGGCUAAUGUUCAACUUUUGGAUUAAUGAACUUUUUUAAAGAGUAUGAAUCUAUAUAAAUAUAAAUUUUUACUUAUUAACAAUUUAAAGACUAUAAUUCUUAAUUUAUAUAAUUUAUUUUACCAUAUUUGUAUAUAUAGAGUGAUUAAUUUUGCAAGCUUUUUCUAGAUUGUCAUUGCCAAAAUAUAAGGUAAUAGGCCUCUUUGAAUGGAAAAUAUCCAUUUGCAUUAAUUAGAAAUUGCAAAUAUAAGACAAUGGGCCACUCAAAUUUUCAUUAGAUUGUUUUCCUCAAAUUUCACCACCUCAAUCUCCCUCUUAUUUUCAUCAAUUUUUUCUUUUCUGCUUAGAAUUCCUCUUUUCUAUCUUCUCCCUACCACCUUUCCCCUUUUCUCUCCCACUUCUAUUUCCACUUCUUUCUUCUCCAUAUUCUACCAUUCUACCAUUCUACCAUUCUACCAGCCACCAAGAACCAACAACCACCACCCUCUUCUCAUCCUGGCGGCACUAAUGGCCACCAUCUCACAACAGCAGCCACCACCUCCUUCUCUCUUCUCCGCUUGGUGUCAGAUUUCCAACCACCACAAGCAUGUUGGAAGUCCAAGGCUAUAUCACACUGCUAAAGCCGAAUUAGCUCAGGUUAGAUUAUUUGUCAAAGUUACUUACCUUCAAUUAUUUGUUCUUGAUCUUUAUUGAGUUUGUUUGAAGCUAAUUUUGAGUGAAUAAUGUAGGUCUAGGGUCCUUUCUCCGUUUUGGGUUUUUUGCUGUUGAUUUAGACAAAAUGAUUUUUUUUAUUGUUCUUGUACAAUAUUUCUGGACGGAAAAUGGAUUAAUGCCAAUAACAGACUAUUAUUUCCGCCAUUACACCAUUUUUCACAUUGUGAUUGUGCCACUACAGACAUGAAUAAAAUUCAUAGCCAUUUUUUAUGGAAUAGCAGCGGCAAAGGGUGGCGCCACCGCAAAAUAGCAGCCACUACACUGCUAUCAUACCAUUAUUUAAAACCCCGCUCAAGGCAUUUCACUCUGAUUAAAUUUUACUUUCCUUGAUGUUAUGCACUACGCUAAUAAGGUUUUACUUUCUGCAAUUUGACUUACCAGGCUCUAGUGCACUAAUUCCAGACCUACGUGACUGAGUGCAUACCUUCAGUGUUCUCAACUGCACCGAAUGCCCAAGAAUAUUCAUAAGCCUAUUGAUUAACUCCUCUGAUAUUUUCCCUUGGCUUGACUGCUGAAAUUACCAUAGAAAUGGUUUAGAAACUAACCAUAACUUUUAACUGAAAUUGAAACCCCUCCCCCCCACCACCAAAAUAAAAAAAAACACAAAGCUACUGAAAUAACAGAACAGGCAAUUUUUUUUUCUUACUGCUAAUCUGGCAACUUUAGCAAGCUUCAGCUUCACUUCACGAGGCAGCCUUCUUUUAAGAGCUGCAGAUGAAGCAUCUACAUCCUGAACUUCCAUGGUUGCCGGUCUCACUGUCAUGAAUAUUGAGCAGACACCAGCUAGUUACAUAGAAUAUAUCUUAAACUUCUUCAUAAAGUAAGAAAUUAAACAACCUAAGCUAACCACAUAACUCACAUUCUGCAACAACUUUCUCCAACUCUCUUAUGGCCCUUUCAAGCAUUGUUCCUUUUGGCCUCAAAUUAGAAACAUCCUUUGACUGCACAAAGGGACUUUUCUGGCAAUUUUGAAUAUAAGAUCACCUUAAUUAGUCUAAGCACAUGCAAAUCAUUAUGCAACCAUGAAAGAGAUGAAAAACACAUUUACAAGGAUAAGAUAUCAAAUGUACCAGCCUUUAUACCUUAGAAAGAUAACAGCGAAGGGGAGCUUAGCUGGCACAGGGCCCCCAAUUAAUGUUUAGAAGUUAGUUUAUAGGCAUUGUUUCUCACCUCAAUUAAAAAAUUAAAAAAAAAAUUUGGCCCCUAAAAGAGUUUACAAUGUGGUCCCCCUUCUAGCGUACAAGCCUAGUACUAUGUGGUUAACAAUUUUUAAACUCAAAAGUCUUCUAUCCAUGGGUUCUACCAAUUUGCAACAAUUUUAAUCAAAAUAUUAUUAGUUUGCUUGUGUUGGACUCUUUUCCCGCAACAGUUCAUACACACUAACAUUAGGCUCCUUAAUUAAAGAGCUAGUACUUAGAUGUCCUGUUACAAAAACAAUUAAAAUAACUAAAGAAACUGUGAACCACACAGCAGCCAAGAACUUGAUACAGAUCAAUUGCUCCAACUUCUAAAGCUUACCAUUUUCUCCAUCAGUAAUUAAAAGAAAGAAGAAAGAGAUCAAUUGUGUAUAAGUAAUUUUCCGGUCAUUAUUACCUUUUUAUUUCUUUUCCAUAAGCCAUGUAACUUAUGUCAUCACAUUUACUUUAGUCACACAUAAGAAAUAUCCCAUCGCAUGGAUAUUUCCAAUCUGCUAGCAAAACAAAAGGAGGUAUACCAGAACAUAUGAUCUGAUUAGAGGUAUGCCCCAAAAGUUGAGGAUACAAUUUUGAUUGUUUGCAUUUAUCAUCAGGUCUAACUUUAAGAUCAUAAAGAAAAGGCAAUAAAUUAUCUAUAUUUUUAAGAGUGUAAGUUAAUCUACUCAGACUUGACUUGCUAGUUGCUCAUAGUCAACUGAACUGCUAUUGAGUCAACUGAACUGCUAUUGAGUCCCAUUAAUUUAGAGCUUGCUAAAACUUGGUUUGAGCAGCUAGCAAGCCCACUCAAGUAGCUGACUUUCACUAAUUUAUUUUGCACUCAAUCUAUAAUUUUACGUAUAGGGAUUUUAGUCCAAAAACUUGAAACUUGUGAUUAACCUUGAUCCAGCUAAAUUUUCAGUCAAUAUUCAUUUAGUCAAGGUGAGAUCAAGUAUCUCCUCCAGUCAAGUAAGAUUAUAGAAAAUGGAACUCAAUCAAGUCAAGUUUUGACCACCAACUCACUAUGUCAAGUUGAUCAAUCAAGAUUACCCCCCACAAUGCAGUACUGCUGGCAAAUUCAAAUUUAUUAAGCAACAGAUAAGGACUAAGGAGCUUAGAAUGUUCUUAAUUAUUGGCAAGAUUUGAACACCAGUAUUUCCAGUAGUUGCAUCAACACUAAAGCAAAUGCCAAAGUCAUCCAGUAUUACAGAUUAUGGUAGGAUAAAUAUACAUGCAUCAUUAGAGGAAGUAGCUCAGCUAAUCAUAGAAUGAGAUUAAAGAAUUUUAAACUAGAAAUAUAGCUAAUUAUAAUAUUUUAAUUUCAAAUUGUAAAUAGGAAUCAGUUAUAUCAAAGACAGAGGCACUUCACACAUGGAAAUGGCCUCAACAUUGAAUUACUUGAGACCACUUAUUGUGACAAUUGACAAAAUAAGAUCAAGUCUACACAUUCUUCUUGAAAUUUGGAGAUACAAUUGCUUACCUCUGGUUGCGCUGGAUAAACAGGAAGAUUAAGAUCUGGCAGUUCACCACAUGUUGCCCUUUUCUCCCUCUGCUCUAUUUUGGUGGAAAUUCCUUCUUUAUCAUUAUCAGUCAUCAAUUUUCUCACUGGAGACUCAAGUUGUUUACAAGAAUUUUUUUCCAGAUACUUCUGAUGGGUUGCUAGAGAGUUUGCAUUAUUUCCUAUAUCACUAGAGUGGAUGGUUGCACUCCUAUACUUAUCAGCAUCCUUUGAAUUUAGUGGAGAUAUAGAAGCAUCAUUAUUUGAGAUUGCUGUGUAUGAAGAAUGCUCACACUUAGUUCCAAUGGUAGCAGGCUUCUUAAAAGAAGAUCUUACAGGAGAACUCAACAGGUUAUGCAAUUUCUGAUCAUGUUCAUUAAUAACAGCUGAGUUCUGCAAGAGAGCAGAAGAUUGUUCUUCAAGCAGAGCAUUUGUUGCAGCAAAAUUUAGCCUCCCCUGUUCAACUUUCAUAUGUUUACUGGGUAAGUGAUCAUCAACUUUCUCUCCUUGAGCUUCGGCCAUAUUUUUACUCCGUUUUCUUGAUUGUUGAGCUACUGACAAUACAGGUUCAUUUCUGGACCAAAACAAUAUAUCAUUAAAAAGGAGUCAAAUUGACAAUCAACCUAACUAAUUAUUUUCUCAAACAAAAAGUACAACAUGAAUAACUAUUAAAAUCGGCAAUUAAAAAAAAUUAAGACUCACAAAUCAGUGAUUAUAUUCUCAAAGUAAUAGCUCAUGUUGAAAAAACUAAAGUUAUGCUUUUAAUAGCUCAUGGUUUAAUUGAAAACAAUAAAGAUAAAACAUUACUCCUAAAAAGAAAAAAGUUAAUUGUACAAGAGCUAAGCAACAAGUGUUGUUACAGCUUUCCCAGCUUAAGUAUUAAAUUCUCUUUUUAAGUAACUAUAAUGAACAAAGUGUUGGAGAAGGAAGGUUCAAGUUCCACUUGCAAUACUCUCCCACAAUGUCCUACAACACUACAAGUUUUUGAAGUAAUUGCUAACAAGAUAUUCAUUUGCAACAAUUACAUUUUAUAUAUGACAUCUCCCUCAAAUUCAGUACCACUGGGCAUGUGAGUGAAUUCCAUCUUCCUUUAGGAUCUUUAUUGUCAGUUUUCACCUAGCUCCAUGAAGUGCCAAGGCACCUUCCUAUGCCAUUGCCUUUGCUCAUAGUUUUGAAGUCUGGACAUUUAAAUUAUGACAUAAAAGCACCCAUAUUGAAGAAAACAGCACAGAGAGUUUGGAAUUUCAUGCUUCUAAUCAACCCACCAAAAUGAAGAAUUUGACUUAAAAGUCAAUCUCAAAAUAGAACCAACCUGCAAGCCCACGAAAUCCAAGUCACAUAUACUUGGAAAGCUUGAUAAGUCUAGUUUCUAAAUCAUCAAACCAUUCAUGAAUUGGAAUUUCCUACGAGUUACAAGUUUGACCAAAAUGCGCUGCUAAAGGCAGAAUCCAGCAUUUUAGGUGUCUCUUUCCAUUUCAAUGACUAGAACAAGUUCUACUUGUAUAUUUUUUAAAAGUUUAAUUUUGAUCGUCACCUAUUCCUGAAGGGUUGUUGCAUGGCUGGUAAUUAUUUUCCAUUCAUUGUAUUGAAAAUUCAGACUUGAGUAUGAGUAAAAUUCAAAGCUUUGUGCUUUUAAGAAGAAAUUAUCCUCUUAACUUUGAACUCUUUUGUGUGAAUUCCUUAUAGUGGUGAGUUUGUUUGCUUUCCAUAUCUAGGACGGGCUAAUCCCGUGAGCUGUAUGAUUUCUUUUGUUUCCUCUGCAACCCGGUAUGAAAAUUUGCAGGGCCACCAUCAGGGUAAUUCAUCACUCUCCUCAUCAGGUACUUUCAUCAGUGUCUGUUUUAUGAUUCCCAUCUUCAACCUUCUUUUGGUUUAAUUAUUUUUCCACGUUCAGGUUCCACUAGCACUUAAAGAAGGUUCUAUGCCUAGUUAGAUUAGAACCAAAGAGUUUUUUGAAGCAAAAGGGUAUCAAAAAGUAGAUAAAAUUUGGGUUACCAAAAAUUAAAUUCAGCUAUCAAUCACUACUCCUCCUGAUAUUCCUAGGUAGUGUUGCAGCAAAAAGCCAAAUAAAAAUUUAUAAUACUUCAAUUAUAAAAAGGGAUAGCUCAUAUAACUUGUUUUAAUUGCAUGUGCAACACGCACAUGAACCGUAUCUUAAUUACUUAAGUGAGAACCAUACAGUUUAUAAGUUAUUUUUUUGGAAGAAUUGACCACUAAACUAGUAAAAUGCAGAUUCCAUUAUUUAUGUACUCUACCAAUUGUUUUCAACUGAAGUUUUCUUAUUAAUAUUUUUUGGUCGAUUUUUUAAAAUAAUUAUUUUUUAACCCCAAGUAUUCUACUAAUUUUAGGAUUUAUCACUUUAUUACAGGUUCAUAGUUGUUUAACCACAACAGAGUUCAACAUAAUACUAUAUAUUCUUAGAUACUCAUCCCUUUUUAAGUGUUGACCUUGCUAUACUACAAUAAAAUAAGAAUUCUUCACCUUCAAGAUCUUGCUUUCUUUUUGCUACCAUUCUCAUAGGCUGCUUUAGUUUAUUGAAAUAAGAAUUCUCUUAUUUUCCCAAUCAUCAAGCACAACUUUUUCUUGGACUCAUUUCUCUUUUUUUUUUCCUUCUCGUAGAUUGCUUUCUUGUACUGAAAUAAGUCUAUCAAUCAUAAAACACUGUUUUUUGAGAUUAUAAAAACUACUUUUAAUAACUAUAAUUUUAUAAAACAGUUUAAAUGGUAUAAUUAUAAAUUAAUGAAAAGAGGAAGUGUAAUAUAGUCAUCACAAAAGUUUUAUACCCCUCAAGCCACAUUUAUAUAUGGUAUAGAUUUUGCAGAUGCAAACAGAUGGAUGCAAAAACCUAUUGAAGCUCAUAAUUUUAUUCCACAAGCAAACCAAGAGAGUUUUGCCAUCUCUCUGCCAGAAUACUAGGCAACACAAAUAAAAGAAUCCUCAAUGCUGGUUGUUUGCAUUUUACAACUCAUAAAGCCCUGCUUACAUGGCAGACAGCCCUCGAACCUUCCCACAGAUAUGAAACUCCAAAGAAUCAUAGUACAAAUUACAUAUUUCCCAAAAAUUUUGUAAAAAAUUGGAUAUUUGCCACAAUCAACACAGUGAAAAUAAAAAUAAAAACAGAAAAUCAUUCUUUUAACUCCAUCUACAUGAGAUUUUGAUAUGUUGCGUAAGAACUUAUGCUUAGUUUAGACUUUUAUUGGAGCAUAUUCUUGUUAACAUUGUUAAAUGUUAAAUAAAAUAAGGAAGAAAACAAUUACUACAAACACCAAAUAUAUCUUUCAAUGACUAAGCAUGCUACUAACAUUAACAUUCAUUUUUUCUUGACAUUACAUCCCAUAAAAUUUGAAUAGUGGAAACCAAAAGACAUGGCUUCUUAAUUAUGGCUAAGGAAACCAACAAUUACUAAUUAUUCUCUUUUAAAGAUUUUGGACUGAUUAAUAAAAAAAUUUUCAUAAUUGAUAUAUCAUUUAUCAAUUAUACUUUAGAUUAAAAACUCCAAAAAAAGCUAUCGUUUUCCUGGAUCGUCCCAACAGCCAAGACAUGAAAAGCAUAUAAAGAAGAAUGAUUUAAAUAGUGAAAAAAAAAAAAAAAAAAAAAAAAACUCACAUGCAUUCCAAUUUCUCAGAGUUUACAAGUAAUCCAUUUUGCUUAAUUGUUGACUUGUCAUCUUGAAAACAUUCAUCCUGCAGAACAAUGGACAAAUGAACGUCUUUAGCGAUCAAUUAACUACUUUUGGUAUCUUAAGAAUAGAUGAAAACCACCAGCAAUGCAAUGAAAAAAGUACUAUUGAAAAGCCACAAUCGAAAUAUGCUAGCAAAAGCACAAACAAAAAGAUCUGCCAAUUGAAUCAUAACAGUUUGACCUGCAAAUGAGCUAUUAAUUCUUGGUAAAAAGGCAAGGCCCAAAAUUCUAGGGAGCAUUUCAUCUACAAUUUUUUUUAUUACAAUCCUACAAUUGUCCAAUCACAAUAAAAAAUUAUGUAGGGUCCACCACUUAUAACUGUAGACUCCACAUAAAAUUUUGAUGGAUCCCACACUAUUAUGAAUUAUGAUUAAUUAUAUUACAAUGACUAUAGAUGAUAUGCUCCCCAAAAUCCAACUUGAAAAAUGAUUACCAAAAAUAAAGGUACUUGACUUUUAUAAGAUUACUACUUUACCCUCAAUAAUAACUUUAUUUUGUCUUUUAGUUGUAAUUUAUAAAACAUCAAGGGAUAUAAAAGAAAACUUAACAAUAAACUCAUUUCUAUUUGAAGGAUAAAAAAAUUGGGACUUCCAAAAAAGAAAAGAACAACAAAAGAAACGAGAGAGUUUUGACCUAUUAUAAUUCCUUUACAUAUCAUUUCAACAAAGAAAUCUUGUAUGUAUAGCUGAUUGUAUCAACAAUCUCAAAUAUUUUGGGCAAGUACCUAGCACUAUGGGGUCCAAAAAAUGGCAAAUACUUCACCCAAAAUGCUGCUUCAAACAAAUCGAUGAAACUUUAAAUUAUAUGAAAGUGGUGGAUAAGGCAAAUCACCCUCUAUAGCUCUUCAUCUAUGAAUGGUAGACAUUGAAAUCGGACUUCAAUGUCAGUUUUUUUCCCAUAAUUUGUCUAAACACUGAACACCCUCAUGCACACAUGUGCUCGCACAAACAAAAGAACCAAUUGCCUUAAUUCCUCAGCAAAUGGAGUCAUGAUUAAAAAAAGUGUAAAAAGGAGAUUUAAAAUUUUCACUCUUUUAAGAGACUAUAUUUGGAAAGUAAAUCAAUAGUAACAGAACCAGUCAAGGAUAACAAAUUCAUUAAAAUAACUAAUAAAACAAUAAAGUAAGAGAUAACAGCCAAAUUUGUAAGAUCUGCUGAAUUUGCAAUUUUAAACUAAUGUCCAUUAUAUUACAAGCUCAAAAAAGGAAUUAGAUCCCCAAUAUAUCCUUAAAGAAUAUUAAUGCUUCAUUUGGAACAAUUCUUCAAUGCCUUAACAACAGCCAAUUUACUACUUACAACCAACAAAGAAAAGCAAAGCUCGUAAGUCAAAAUAGAAGGAAAAAAAAAAAAAGAAGACCUGACUGGCUUAACGUCCUUUCAACAUCCUUUUCUUAAAUAAGCACCCUUUUGAUUGGCCAACAAGCAGAAAUACAGCAAAAACAAGCAUAAGAGACAAUCUUCAAUGCAUGCACACAUACAUAUAUACAUAUAGACAGAAAUAUAUAUAUAUAAAAGAAACUGCAGACACGCUUAAGCCUCAAAGGCAGUAAAAGUAAAAAAUGAGGAGCAGAGGCUAUUAGCGCCUUACAACAUCAUUCUCACAUGAGCAAAUUUUGAGAACUCAUUGGGAAGUAUAUUCAAGCCCACAGCUGCCAAUUAUUUAUUAAAAAUAAGUAUUGUUCUAACUUAGAAGGCUUCAUAUCUCUACCUUUUUGCAUAUUGUACAAGGUGUAAUAAAGUUGAAGUUAGCCUGUUACUGUGGGAAAACACUUAUUUACAGCUGGUUGUAAUCUUGUAAUCUGUAUAUUUAUAUUUGUAUCUCUAGAAUUAAGUAUUUGUAUCCCUAAAAUUAUGAUAGACAAUCUCUCAAUUAUAGGAUUAGUUUUUUAGGAAGAUUUAAUUUCCUAGUUUAACCCCUAGUUAGUUAUAUAUAAACCUAAGAUUCUUGUAUAAUUCUCAAUAAGCAGUUUUCCAACAUACAUUCAGUUUUCACACUGAUUUAUUUCUUAGUUUUUCCACAAAGGUAUCAGAGCUUUAGGUUCUUCUUGGGAAGCAAAAUUUUCAGCCUUCAUUGCCGACUUUUUUAGGCCUUCAUUGCCGAAUCCUGUUUAGGCCUUCAUUGCCAAACACUUUCAAAGAAAAAUAUCACUACCACCCAAUUUGAGAAAAUGUUAACUGAAAAAAUCACUGGAAUACUACAAAUGUCUCAGAAACAAAGAGAGUUCGACAGGGAAGAGAUUAAAAAGCUAAGAAACUUAUUGAAAAUCCUUGAAAAGCCUACUGUGAUAUGUUCUUUGGGUAAGGUUUCUAGUUCAGGUAAAGCUUUUCGGUUCUCAUGAAUUAAAUGUCUCGACUAAGCCUAUUACGAGCUCUUGGGUCAUUGACUCAGAAGCCACAGACCACAUGACACAUUCGUCACAAAAGUUUAGUACAUAUAACAUGUGUCCUAGUAAUAAGAAAAUUGUUGUUGCAGAUGGUUCACUUACCAUAGUGGCAGGAUUAGGAGAUGUUCAAGUUAAUCCCUCGUUUGUUCUCAAAAAUGUUCUUCAUGUUCCUGGAUUGUCUACUAAUCUGAUAUCUAUACAAAAACUUACCAGAGAUAUGAAUUGCAAAGUAACUUUUUAUCCCUCUUAUUGUGAAUUUCAGAACCAGAGUUCGGGGAAGAUGAUUGGACUUGCUAAGGAGAAGGAUGGACUAUAUUAUCUUGAGACAUCAGAUAACACAAGUAGUAUCAAGAAUAGUUUACCUUUGUCAUUUCUUUCUGAAAAAUCUUCCAAUAAAGACAAAAUCUAGCUUAUCAUUNNNNNNNNNNNNNNNNNNNNNNNNNNNNNNNNNNNNNNNNNNNNNNNNNNNNNNNNNNNNNNNNNNNNNNNNNNNNNNNNNNNNNNNNNNNNNNNNNNNNNNNNNNNNNNNNNNNNNNNNNNNNNNNNNNNNNNNNNNNNNNNNNNNNNNNNNNNNNNNNNNNNNNNNNNNNNNNNNNNNNNNNNNNNNNNNNNNNNNNNNNNNNNNNNNNNNNNNNNNNNNNNNNNNNNNNNNNNNNNNNNNNNNNNNNNNNNNNNNNNNNNNNNNNNNNNNNNNNNNNNNNNNNNNNNNNNNNNNNNNNNNNNNNNNNNNNNNNNNNNNNNNNNNNNNNNNNNNNNNNNNNNNNNNNNNNNNNNNNNNNNNNNNNNNNNNNNNNNNNNNNNNNNNNNNNNNNNNNNNNNNNNNNNNNNNNNNNNNNNNNNNNNNNNNNNNNNNNNNNNNNNNNNNNNNNNNNNNNNNNNNNNNNNNNNNNNNNNNNNNNNNNNNNNNNNNNNNNNNNNNNNNNNNNNNNNNNNNNNNNNNNNNNNNNNNNNNNNNNNNNNNNNNNNNNNNNNNNNNNNNNNNNNNNNNNNNNNNNNNNNNNNNNNNNNNNNNNNNNNNNNNNNNNNNNNNNNNNNNNNNNNNNNNNNNNNNNNNNNNNNNNNNNNNNNNNNNNNNNNNNNNNNNNNNNNNNNNNNNNNNNNNNNNNNNNNNNNNNNNNNNNNNNNNNNNNNNNNNNNNNNNNNNNNNNNNNNNNNNNNNNNNNNNNNNNNNNNNNNNNNNNNNNNNNNNNNNNNNNNNNNNNNNNNNNNNNNNNNNNNNNNNNNNNNNNNNNNNNNNNNNNNNNNNNNNNNNNNNNNNNNNNNNNNNNNNNNNNNNNNNNNNNNNNNNNNNNNNNNNNNNNNNNNNNNNNNNNNNNNNNNNNNNNNNNNNNNNNNNNNNNNNNNNNNNNNNNNNNNNNNNNNNNNNNNNNNNNNNNNNNNNNNNNNNNNNNNNNNNNNNNNNNNNNNNNNNNNNNNNNUUUUCUUCUUGAAGCUUCUGGAUUUUUUACUUUAACUUACCCUUUUCAGACUCAAAUUCUUUUGUCGUAAGCUCUAAGUCUAAUGGUGUCUCUUCAAGUUUUUCUCUUGUUGGUGGUUGAAAGCUUUUAUAAGUGAAUACCAUUUCUUGUCUUUGUUUUGCUCUCCAAACCAAAUACCCUGGAGUGACUUUAUCAGUAAACGAUCUAGGACUCACUCUUCGGGGAUUUUUCCAUGCUUUAAUCAUUUCAUUCAUCCUCUGAAAUUCUUUUGGCUCACUAUAAGAGAAAUCUAACUGAUAAAGCCCAUGCAUCAUAGGAAUGAAACUGUUUUGCCCCAAACUACCUUAUCACUGGGAGUGGUGCAUAAUUUGACGCUCCUCAUAAACCCAAAAGUGGGACCACUAUAUUAUCCCCACAUUGAUACAAUAUAGGCUCACGAUUCAUCCAUGGGGCCAACCACCUUACUUCGAUACUGGUCAAUUUUUGUAGGAAAGUUAUCCAUUCCAUUUUAGAAUUUCAUUCUGACCACCCACUUUCACAGAAUUCCUUGAUCGGGGCUCAAUUACGGACAUAAAGCUUUGAGAAAGCACCUUUUCUCCAUUCGAAAUGGCUUUUCAUCCAUAAGUAUAAUAACUGUAUGCAACCUAUAAAGCGCCCUCCAUUUCGAUGACAGUAACUCAAAGAUUCGAUAGUCUUUGCUAAUAUUACCAUUGAAGGGUUAUAACCAUUGCUCACACUCUCAAAUAAGUCAACCACCACUAUCUCAAUAUAACCCAAAACCUUUGGGAAGAUCAUUAUUUUGUAUAUCGCUAAGGCAAAUACAUUUAACCCCCGUUCUUCGUUGGCAUGUUGCACUAGAAACUCAUGAAAAAACUUUCAAAGUAGGCAAACUUGUUCUUGUUUUUUCUUUGUAUGAGAAUCCACAACUUCUUUGUCUAUUCCCAUGAGUUAAGCCAAACCCUUACUUAAUCCUGACUUGUGUUUUUUGACAUAUAUCUUAUCAGGAGCCUUGAGGUGCAAACCUAACAAAGUCAAAUAUUCUUCGAUCGUUGGUGUCAUAUCAACUUCAUUGAAGAUGAAACACUUGUAUGCAGGAUCUUGAAAUUAUGCUGUAGCUCUGAUUAGUUGAUCAUCGACAACUACUGCUAGAAAGUGUGCUAUAUGCCCGUGUCUCUGGCAAAACUGCUAUUGUCUUGACAGACUCAUCUUCUUUCAUAUAUCAACCAAAUAGAUUAUUUUGUUUGAAGAGGAUAGAUGUUUCUUGAGACAAUGUAGAAUCAUAUCCAAUUGGUAAACAAUCUCUCAUCUUCAGUUGAAUCUUUUCUGACUGGAUUCUUACUUCAUUGGCUGUCUUACAAAGUGUUAAUAUAGAUGAAGAACAAACUAGUCGUUCUGUGGAGUUCAUGAAAAAUUUUUGUUGAAGAUCAUCUUUCAAGCAAAUGUUCAUUAUGAAACUUUAUGACAUGAGCAUAAACCAAUGCAAAAGAAUGAGAGAAAAGAUUAGUAUGCCCAGGGAAAAAAGGAAUAAAUAAAUAACUAAGUAAAUUAAAACAUCACACAAAAUAAGAGGAAUGAACUCUAUGCUUCUAGUUAAUUCUAAAAGGGAAGAAUGAUGGCUCUAUCUAUAGGCUAGGCAUUCUUAAGGUUCACUAUAUGGGGUUUGAGGUUAAAGUCUAAAGGUUCCUAAAUUGCUUCUUACAUUAUUGUCCAUCACAGACUAGUAAGGCACCCUAAUCCUCACCCAUUACAGGCUACAAGCGAAAAAAGUUCAAUUUAAGUGGGAAUAUUUCGCUAGCCACUACGGAGGCAUUAAACCUCAUGAAAGCAAUAGGUACUUUACUCCCUCUUAGAAGGAUGGAGCUCAAGUAUAGAGCUCAUGUUAUGCAUAUGCAUAUGAAUGACAUAAUUAAUAAAGUAAAUAAACAUGAGUGAAUAAAAAAAUCUAUACAGAAGGUUCAAUUUUAUUAGGCUUUUGGAUAACACAAAUUUAUUUGCUGGCUUGACUCUCAAGUAUCCCUAGUGGAGUCGCCAAGCUGUCAAAACGUCUAGAUUUGGGGAUCUAUCGCUAGACAUUGACUUGAAGGAGUCGCCACCAAUCUUUUUUAUCUAAGUAUGAUUGGCCACUUAAGGAAUCUAUCCUUUUAGGGAACACCGAGUUUAAAGGUCCCUAAAAGAAUAGGUUUAGGUCUACUAACCAGAACAGGAUUUGAGAGUUCAAUUACGUGUGAGGAAGGUUAUAGCACCCUCACAAUGCCCAUUGAAAAAUAGUACCAGCUUAAUUUUGUGUUAUCCAAUAAGCCUUAAAAAUUUACCAAGUAAUUAAUUAUUGAAAAUUAUUCUCAAUUGACUCUAAUACUUUUAGCAAAAAAUUGAGAAAAUCUCCUCACCUCAAGAGUGUGCAAGAAAACUAUUGUCUCACUUGCAAAGGCUCCAUCGUCGGAUUAUUUAACAUUAAAGAAAAUUCAAGAAAAUAAAAAAGAAGAAAAAAUGAUUGCUUUUAUAUAGGGAAAAUUGAUACUUUCAACUUUUCCUCAAAAAAACCAUUUUAUAAAACUUAUUUUUAAGGAAAACUGAUACUUUCAACUUUUCUCCAAAAAUAUUUUUUAGAGAGCUUAUUUUCAAGGAAAAUUGAUACUUUCAACUUUUCCUCAAAAAAUAUUUUUUAGAAAGCUUAUUUUCAAGGAAAAUUGAUAUUUUCAACUUUUCCUCAAAAAUAGUUUUUUGAAAAACUUAUUUUCAAGAAAAAUUGAUACUUUCAACCUUUCCUCAAAAAUAUUUUUUUUUGAAAAACUUAUUUUCAAGGAAAAUUGAUACUUUCAACUUUUUCUUAAAAUUUUUUUUUGAAUUUUAUUUAAAGAAAAUAAAAUAAAUAAAAUAAAAUAAAAAGUAUUAAACAAUUCUAAUCUAAUCAAUAAAUAAUAAUAAUAAUAAAUAAAUAAAUAAAUAAUAAAAAAUGAAAAAAAAAACCUAUGAAUGGCUCAGCUUAGCGGCUCGGCUCGGCUCGGCUCGACUUAAGGAAGAAAGGGCGGCUCGAAGAUGCGGCUCGAAGAUGCGACUCAGGGAGUCAGCUUGGCUCAGCUCGGCUCCAGGGGUUGGAUAGCACUCGAGUCACACACGGAUCAAUGCUCGGGUCGGGUUGCUCGAUUUCAAAACGCGCGGAUCCUCUGGGAACAGUAACACCAAAACGACGUCGUUUUUAGCAAAUAUAAAAGGCUAUCCCUUCUGUUUUUUCAACAGAUCUCUCAUCCCCUCUCUCUCUCUUCCCUUGUUUUUCUCCUCCCACUCUCUAAACCAAUGAAGAACUCUGGUUGAAUCUCAUCAGAUUCUAGAAAAUAUGGUCGGAAUCUGGGUUUUUCAUCGAAAGUUCAUCGAAAAGUUGGUCGAUUUCUGGAAACGGUGUCGAAAACUGGGUAGCUGACCGAAAAAAUCAAACUUGGUCGAAAAAGUCACCAGAAAAUUCAAACUUCGACGAAAAAUUCAACCGAAAUCUAAAAAUUUUCCAGAAAUUCCCAGAAAAAAAUCACUAAAAAUUCAAAAAAAUUCCCAUCGAUUCCUAAAGCUAUUCUAACACACAAAAACCUUUUUUUAGCUUCUGUUUCUUCUCUGUGUGUCCUCUUCUAUUUUAUUCUAGCACCUAUUUAUAGGGAUUAAUCAAAAUAGUUUCUGAUCAAUCCCAACUUCUCCUUGGAUUGUGAUUCAAUCCUUGAAUCCAAUAUGGACUCUGAUUGAAUUCCAAAUUCACGGUAGGAUUCCCAAAUUUUCAUCCCAAUCUCAGCCGAAUAAAAAGAAAAAGAAAAUCAAAUUAAAUAAAAAAUUUUAAUAGGUAAUUAAAAGAAAAUAAUUAUAUAAAUAAAAAUCUUAAUAGAUAAAUAAAAAUAAUAAUAUAUAAUAGAUAUAUAAAUAGAUAAGUAAUAAUAAAAGAUAUAUAUUAAUAAAUAGUAAUAAAAGAUAAGUAAAUAAUAAAUAAAUAAAUAAAAUACAAAAAUACAAAAUACAGAAUAAAUAAAAAAAUAAAAAUAAAAUAAAAUAAAAUAAAAUAAAACAAAUUGAAAUGAGCUUACCCAUUUGAACCAUGCCCAAUGGAUUCGGGCUUGGAUCCAAUUGGGUGUCUACAAUGGGUGAUUGUGAUUGGAAUGAAACAAUAAAAAAUUUUCAUCAAUGCCUUUCGUUGCUGUUCCAGACGCAGGCUUGGCAAUGGUGAUGAUAAUAUAAUGAUAAGAGAUUUAAAAAAUGCAACAUAUCUUUCAAAUUUGAAAUAGUAAAAAACAAAUCUAAUCAAUUUUAAUCAAAAUAUACAUUCAAAAUUUAUGGUCCAUAUAUUCUUGAAAAGUGAUUAAAUUAAAAAAAAUUCUAGAAUUGACAUUUUUGAAUUCAAGAUUUAUACAAAAUUUUUCAUAUUUGAUAGGUUUUCAUUUUGAAUUUAAAUAAUUUAUCAAAUAGAAUUACUUUGUAAACCCAUUUUAGAGAUAAUACAUUAUUACAAUUGAGAUUUUUAUAUUUAAAAAAUAUGUUUAUAUUAUUAGGAAAUUUAUUUUUAAUAAAAAUAUAUCUAAAUUAGAUUUUAUUGUUAACAAUUUUAAAAUUAUCCAUGUAGAUAUCCAUAUAAAUUACUUUUUUUGUGGUAAAUUCCUAUGUGUCAAAAAAUGAUAUAUAUAUAUAUAUAGGCAUUUACAUAUCCCAUAAUACUUACAUCUAAAAUUUGAAAGUUUUUGAUAACUAAAUAAUUUUUUAAAUAUUUAUUUCUUGAUAAAUAGCCUAAAAUUAAGAAAUGUCUUAUAUGUCGUUAUAGAGAAAUUUUAAGAAUUUUAUCACAUGUCAAAAAGAAAAACCAUCAAUGUAAGCAAACCUUAUAAUGUAACAAUGUAUCCUGUAAUAUAAUAUAUAUUAUAUAUUUUUAAAAGAUUAUUAGUUAUCCAAGUGAUAAAAAUAGUCAUACUUGACACAGACUCCAAGUCUUAAGAUUUCACAAUGUAUAUAAUAAACUUUAAUUUUCCAUGUGUACAUAUACUAGCAAAGUAAAAUAAGAACAUAAAAUGUCAACCAAUGAUUCUCAUCAUUCAAGCAUAGAAUUAAAUAUCACAUAGAUAUUCCAAGUGUAAAGGGAAAGGUCCAACAUAGAGACAAACCAUGAUGUGUGAGUAUGAAAGACAAAUGAUAUACUCCUAAUAAUAAAUUACAUCAAAAGACCCUAAAAUACCUAUGUUCUCAAUAUGUUUACCAAAUAGUAUAGGUCGUAUUCCCGUAGUCCAAGGAUCAACAAUCAUGUUGAUUGUCUGAAUGUGUUUGACAACAAUCUUACAAUUUUUCAUAAAAUCCCUAACUUUAAAAUAUAUUAUCUCCAAAUGUUUAAACCACUAGUGCUCUUGUUGUUAUUAGAAAACAACAUAGUAGACCUAUUAUCCCAAUAAAUCUUUAAAGGUCUGGGGAUGGAAUUAAUAAUACAAAGGCCUAACAUAAAAUUCAUAAGCUAAAUUGCCUAUGUAGCAGCUCUAUUGCAUGCAACAAACUCAACUUGUAUAGUGAAAAAAAAUAAAAGUGUUUUUUUCACACAUUUCCAAGACAGCUCCUACAGCCGACAUAAAAAAAUACUCUGAGGUGGACUCCAUGUCAUCCUAACUAGUGAAGUUAGAAUUUAUAUACCCUAUUAUCUGAAGAUUGUCCAUUUUUUUGUAUACCAAUGUAUGGUUCUUUUGUCUUUUGCAAGUACCUAAUCACUUUCUUAAUAACAACCCAGUGAUCCAUACUAGAAUUUGAAAGACAUCUCUCAAGAACUCACUUUGCAAAAGCAAUAUCUAGCCUAGUGCAAACUUGAGCAUACAUGAGACUCCCAACUGCACUAGAAUAUGGUAUGAUCUUCAUGGAUUCUUUCUCCAAAUCAUUCUUUGGGCACUGACUAAGGUUAAGUCUAUCACCUUUGACAAUGAGUGCAUUCCUAGCCUUACAGCUCUGUAUGUUAAAUUUAUUAAGCACACGAUUAAUGUAAGACCUUUGCGAUAGUCUCAGCAAAUUGUGAGACCUAUCUUUAUGAAUUUCAAUCCCAAGAACAAGGGAAGCAUUCCUAAGGUUUUUCAUAUCAAAAGUCUUGGAGAAUAACUGCUUAAUUUCAUGUAACAAACCAAUAUCAUUACAAGCCACUAAGUGUCAUCCACAUAUAACACAAGAAAGAUAUAUUUACUCCCCCUAAUUUUAAGGUAUAUGCAUUGAUCAACUUUAUUUUCCUCAAAACUAGGGGAAGAAACUAUCUUAUCAAAUUUUAGAUACCUCUACUUAGAAGCUUAUUUAAGGGCAUAGAUUGACAUUUUAAGUUAACAUACUAAAUGCUCUUUUUCAAAUUCUUGAAAUCUUUUUGGUUGCAUCAUAUAAACCUUUUCUCUAAAAUCACCAUUGAGAAAAGCCAUCUUUACAUCAUGUAAUAAAGUUUCAAGUUAAAAUGUACUACCAAGGCCAUAACAAUCCUAAAGAAUUUUUGGAAGACAUUGGUAAAAACGUUUCGUUAUAAUCUACUCUUCCCCUCUAAAUAAAUUACUUUGCCACCAAUUUAACUUUAAAUAUCUCAAAUUUUUCCUUAGAACCUUUCUUGGUUUUAUACACCUAUUUACAACCAAUGGAUAUAUACUUUUUUGGCUGUUUAACAAGCUCCUAAGCACCAUUUUGAGCGAUAAAAUUUACGCCAUUUUUUAUUACAUCCAUCCAUACAUUAAAUUACAGACUGCUAAUAGUUUCACCAAAAGUCACAAGGUUAACAACAUGACUAAUGUCAUAGUCACUCUCUCAAUGAUAAAUUACAUAAUCAUUAAAGAUGUCGGAUCUUCUUUGCUUGGAAGAUCUCUUAAAAGGUAUUUCAAUAUCAUUCUUUUGAACUUGAAGUACAUCAGUAGGAAGAAGGUUUAUGUCCUAUUGCCUUGAUCUCUUCUUUCAAUGGCCACUGGCAUAAUAUGGCAUUGUAUUAUAGGUAAAGCGAUGGAGGUAUGUCUAAUAGAUUCACAAUUAUCCACAUCCUCUAUCACACUCUUAUCAACAACAUUUAGUUCAAGAAACUUUGCCACAUAUGACUCUACAAACUUUGUUCCACGUAUAGGACAAUAGAACUUAUAUCCCUUAAAGUGAUCUAGAUACUCUAAAGAAAAGCAAUAAGUACUCUUAGGUUCAAUCUUUCUUUCAAAAGGUUAUAGAUUCUAACUUUUGCAAGACAUCCGCAAACCUUAAAAUGGUUCAAUUGGGGUUUCCUACCAGUCUACAAUUCAAAAGGUGUUUUAGGAACAGAUUUACUAGGUACUCUAUUAAGUAUAUACAAGGCGGUAUUAAUACCUUCACCUCAAAAAGACUUAAGAAGAUUGGUCCUACAUAUAAGCUCCUUAUCAUACCCUUAAGGGUGUAAUUUUGCCUUUCGACCACACCAUUAUGUUCAAGACUACCAAGCAUAGCAUAUUAAGAAAAAUCUGACAUUCUUGUAAGUAUUUAGAAAAUGGUCUCAUAUGUUUAACUAGUUUCGCCAUAUCUACCAUCAUACUCACCAUCUUGGAGCUAAUGACUUUGAUAACUUUCCCUAAUUAUUUCUCUACCUCAAUUUAAAAAUUUUAAAUUUUUUAAAAGCAUUUCGAUUUUCAUCAAUUAGGUAAAGAUGCCUAUAGCAAAAAUAGUCAUAAAUAAAAGUAACAAAAUAAUUGUUACCACAAAAGAUAGAUAUAAGAGGUCCACUAUUAUCAGUGUACACAAUUUUCAAAAGGUCAAAAUUAUAAAUUGCCUCAUUUUUCUUAGUCUUAGUUAGUAUAUGUUUUAUACAAUCAAGACAAGUGUCUAACUUUUCAAAAUCAAAGGAAGGUAAAGUACAAUUUUUUAUCAAUUUUUGCACUUUUUCACUAGAAAUGUGACCUAAUCUUUUACGCCACAACAAAAAAGACUUUUCUUUAGUUAGAUAUUUUUAAGAUACUGUCUUUUCCACAUUAUUGCAACUAUAUUAAUUAUCAUAUGCCAAGCACGGUUUGUAUAAAUUGUCAAUUAGUUUAAAUUCAUCAACAAUGAAUUUUCUUUAGUCAAAGAUUUUUUAGUCACUAUUUUUUUAACAUUAUUGCAACUAUAUUAAUUAUUGUAGGCUAAGCACAGUUUAUAUAAAUUGUCAAUUAGUUUAAAUUCGCCAACAACAUUUGAAUUUUAAAAACAAAUCAACUUUUCCAUAUCCAAGCCAAAAUAAAUAACCAUGUUCUUCAAAAUAAAAACUAAAUCAAAUUCCUCUUAAAUGAAGGUGUAUGAAAAACAUUUUGCAAAAUAAGUUCAAAGCCAGAUUCUAAAUUUAAGCCUAUUGUUCCUACAUAAUUAAUGGCUACUUCAGUAUUGUUUCAAACUCUAUGUGUUGCCCCUUUCUCACUUAGCUUUCAUUUGUUUUUGAAUCAUAGCAAAGGUAACAAUAAUAUGAAUAGUUGCACCACUAUCAACCUACUAGGAAUUUGGUAGGCCAUUGACAAAUUAGGAUUUAAAACAAACGAGAGCUAGUGAGUUACCUUCUUGUUUAUUCUUUUUCUUUAACCAAGCUUGAUAUUUAGGGUACUCAUGUUUCAUAUGACAUUUUUUUUACAGGAAAAACACUUGAUAUCUUUCUUAAUGACAACUUUAAGCCCUGUCACCUUUUUUGUCUGACCACUACCUUAUCCCUUGUUUUCUUGAACUUUCUUGUGAGCAUUAGGAACAAAUUUCCCAGAUUUUUCAUAAUUUCUUUUGUAAUUAUAUUUGGAGUAUAUAGUAAAAAAAACACUCUCACCCUUUUCUUUCUACAGUUUUUCUUCUUUAGAGACAAACUUUUAAGUAAGAUCAUUAACACUUCAAAACCUCAUUCAUAGCAUUAUAGACAGUUUUGAUCUGAGUGAACUCCAAAAGUAAGGCAUUGAAGGCAUGAUGAACAAUGAAUUUAUCAGGAAGGUCGAUUUCAUGAUAAGUCAAUUUGGUUUGAAUGUGGACCAUUCUCAUGAUGAAAUCUCUAGCACUUCUAACACUGUCAUACCUUAUACUUGUAAGCUCACUCAUAAGGUUCUUAGUUUUACACUUAUUGGAUUUUUGGUAUUUAUUGGCUUCAGCAUGGUAAAGAUCCCUAGCAAUUUUUGUGGUAUCCAACUCACUCAAAAGGUAUUCAAAAAUAGAAAUAUUAAUGACAUAUAGAUGCAUAUGAUUUGUCCUUUCCCAUUCGGGAAAAUAUUCUUUUUGUUUAGCAAUGCUUUCAUUAGUAAAAUUAACUAGCUUUGAAAAACGUAAGGCUACGUCUAUCUCAUUUAUAACUAAAGCAAAAUUCAAAUCUUUAUUCCAUUUUUUAUAAUUAGACCCAUGAAGAACUUUAAUAGUGGCUUAUUGUUAUUGAUAAUAAAAGUCAACAUUCAAGAUAAAAAUGCAACAUUAGUAAAUGGCGAUAUGAUAAAAUAUAUAGCAACAGUUCAUGAUGUACUAACAAUUAUUGAAAGGUCUUGGUACAUCACCACAAACUCCUUUUCGGAUAAAGAAUGUAAUAUGCAAGUAGGAACUUUUCGCGUAAAGCUAAUACGAAAAUGUGCUAGCUUUUAAAAAACAUAUCCCCUUCGGGCAUAUAGAUUUUCUAGAUUGGUACAACUUCAACCAUGAUGAUUUAUAUUCCAAAACAAAUUACCCUAUACAUUAACCCCCUUUAGGCAGUAAAUUGCAUAAGAUAAUUUAUUAACCAUCCCGUAACCAUAGAAUGAUAAAAUAUUACAUUAAUUUCAAUAAGUGAGCUACUUUGAAAACCAAAUAUUGAUAUCAAUUAAUAAAGAUUUUUUCAAAUAAAAAAAUUUCAUUAAUUGCCCAAAACUCUCAGUUUACAAACUCAACCAUAAUGUGUGCAAUGGAUUAUCCCAACUAAAAAACUAAGCUUAAAUGUAUCUAAUUAGGUCUUAUAUGCAGUAUACAUUAAAUUUAAACUAGUGUCUUGAAUUUUUUUUAAAAUCAAUUUUUAAUUACUAAAUCAACUAUGCACUUAAGAGCACAUAAAUAUCAAGGCCUAUUUAGGAAGAAUGCCUACUAUCAUUAGACUCUCAUCAUACCAAAAUAUUUUAUCACAAAAUAAAAUAAUAAAAUAAUAUGUAUAACAUAUAGUAAUUAUUGAGCAAUGCAUGAAUGUCAAACAAAUAUUCAUGUAGUUUAAAAAUUUUUUAAAAAAAAUUAGAAAUAAAAUUCCAAGUUUGCCAAAAAAAACUAGAGCAAAAAUGGUGCUAGAGACGCCCACACGUGCCAUAUGCGCCCCCCACCAUGCAUGGAUUUUGUUCAACAUGGGGAAUGAUUUUCUUUAACCUCUAAAUGAGUUGACUCAAUGCGACUGGAACAAUUCUUUACCUAUUCUAGUCUGUUCGUAUUUUUCCACCAUUUUUUAUGCAUUUUCUUGGUAAUUUCAACAAAUUCAAGUGCCCAAAAAAUUUUUUUUUCUAUCAAACCCUUGACAAAAAGUAUAAAAACAUGACAAAAAUAAGAUCAAUUGGUUAAAAAAUUUUCAAAUUACAUAAACAUGUAUUAGAUCCCUUUUUAUUUUCUUCGUGUUUGGCUAAUCUAAAAUAAUAUGAAAUUAAACGCUUUGAUUUAACUUUAUAACACAUGAGCAACAUGAUUCAAGAAUCAAUUUUGAAUUAAACACAUAAAAUGUUUGAUGUUUUAAUCAAAACAAGAAUUUAGAUUAAAACUUAAACUUAAAAAUUUUCAACCUUGAUUUCUCUCUCGAUAUAAGGAAUUAGAAAAUGAUCAUUAUAUAAUUUUAAUCCUUUUUUAGAGAGGAACUAAAAUCCUAAAUCAAUUUCAAAAAAUAAAGAUCAAAAUUUAAAAAUUUGACAACAACAUAAUUUCACACUAAAUAUGUUGUUUGUUCAAAAAUCAACUAUAAAUCAUGGUUUUAGGGGCCUAAUAUCACAUAAUGAUAGCUCUGAUACCACACGUAAACAUUAACCCAAGUUUAUUGUUUGAUAAUUAGAACAUCGUAAACAAAUAAUGAGAUUUUUCAUACUUAUUUGGGUGGUCAUGACGAAUAUAUCACAACGAAACAAUACUUAAAGUACUUAGGUCUUUCUCUUCACUCUUGUCAUAUUGGUGAUACUCAAUGAGCAGUAACCGUAACUUGUAUAAAAGUAAAAAAAAAAAAGUUAUUUGAACCUAUUUUAAUUGAAAACCCUUGAAGCCUCCUCAUUAAACACUUACUAGACUAAAGGUCUACAAAACCUCCAAACUAGAUUGAUCUGGUAAGAUGUGUAAGUCUUACAUUUAAGUGAUCACAUUAAAUUAUUUAAACUCUCAUGCUUAUCUCAUGUUAAGAGUAAACACAUCAACCAAUUUUAUUAAAUUAUUAAAACCAACUAUUAAUGGUAGCCCACUUAUGAACAAUUCUUGCUUUAUAUCCUAAUAAAACAUCAACGGGGAGUUUAUAAAGCAAAAGAUGAAGACUAUAUUAAGAGCAAUGGUGGUGGAAAGAUUGUUUUCUAAACAAAAAUUUAGAUGUUGAAGCGGUCUUCAUAAGAGAUGACUUUCUAUGUUAGAAUGGUUCCACUAAAAUAGUAUACUAAGGUUAUAUUUGAUACAUAUGAUUGUUAAUAGAAUAUGAAGAAUAUUCAUAAGGUUUGGAAUGAGGAUUAAUAUCCUCUUGGCAUAGGAUUAUUCAAUCCUCUCAAAGUAGAGAGAAUAAUUUUUAAAUUUAUAGAUUAAACUUACAGGUUCAAUUAUACCUUUAAAAAUUACUUUAAUAAUUUAAAUUGUAUAAACUUUGAAUAAGGAUAAUUUUAACAAAUAAAUAAAUUAUCCUAUCCCAAUCUUUACAUAUAGAAAACACAAAACAAGAUGACAUUAUUUAAUCUAAUUCUAUUUAUAAUAUCAUUGUACCCUAUCAAGUUAUAAUCUUAUGUACCAAACAUGGCAUAAGAUUAUUAUAUCCAUGUAUAUUGAUAUUAUUUGUUAUUUUAUAACUAAGCUUUUGCGAUUCACAUAUUGUGAGGGGUUUUUGUGACAACUUUUUAAAAGACUAUUUGGCAUGAUUGUAUAUACAUGACAUCAUACAUGCUAAUAGAGGAUUAGGAUAGAGCGGCAUAUUCGAAUUCACCUAUAAGGUACUGUGUGAAUUGAAUUCCUCAAUUCUUUUUAUUGGUGACCUAGAUUGGUGGAUUAUAUUAUAGAAUGGUGGUGUAGCACAAUGAUUUUAUGUUGUUUUACAACAAUUAUUGUUCAUUUCUUCAAACAUCAGUAAAUAAGAUUGAAGAACGGGUGCAUUGUCCUAAAACCAAAUGAACUUGAGUAACAACCAUAAGCUCUAAGGAUUUUCAAAGAACUUGGAUAUCAUUUUGUUUGUUGAGAACCAAAAGAUGGAAAGAAACAAGAAAGUAGUAUCGAAAUUAGCAAUAACCUUUAGUUUACAAUAAAUAAGUUAGUUGAUUUUGUCUGUGUACACUUGGGUAUACUAUUUGUUAUUUAUGUUAAUGAGCCUUACAUAAAUUUUCAAUUUGGCUGACUUUAGGACUGAUAUUAGGUUCUAGAAGUCUAGAAUCCCUGUUGAAUAUAUAGGGUGAAGAAAUCUAAAUAUUCAAUACUGAAAUUAUUUUAUACUUUGAUCUUAGCAUAUGAUAUUGGAAGUAGUUUACUAAAAUUUGGUAAGUUAUAUUGAGACAUUGAUCUUUCAAUUGGCUAUAUGUUAUGCCUUUUUCAUAUUUUUUAUCCUAAAGAUUGAAGGAGAAAUUCUAUUUGUGGAUGAGAUGCUAUGAUUUGCAAGAGUGAAUUAAAAUGGAAUUUGUAUUAAUGGAUAUAUUAUUACUUUAAGUAUAUUAUAUUUUUGGAAAGUUUGCUGAAUCUACUUUCCAAUGAAAUAAACGUAAGUCGAAUCAGAGUUUUCUAUUAAGAGUUGUCUAAUUUUUACUUAAUGAUAUGUAGACUGCCUGACAACAGUAGCAAUGAGGAAUUACAAAAUUUCUCUUAAUUUUUAUACAAUCAAUUACGAAUUGAGCCAUACAUGUUUAAAAAGGUUAUUGAGUUUAUAAUCCAAUGAAACAAGCAGAAUUGAAUUUGGAGUCUGUUAUGAAUAAAUAUGUCAUUUUGAUUACAAUAUAUACAUGCUAUCUGGUAGUAGCAUAUGACAUGGAUUGCAAAAAUUAUUACAAUUAAUCUACAAUAAAUUAUGAGGUGGGCCACAUAUGUUGUCAUAACAUCUUGAUCCGGGGAUCCAUUACUAGAUAUUAUUUUUAGGAGUCGUUACUAAUCUUUUUUAUUUAGGUGCGAUUAGCCACAUAGAAAAUUUAUCUAUUUUAAGGAACACCUAAGCCUAAGGUUCCCUAAAAGAAUAGUUUCAAGUCUACUAAUCAAAACAGGGUUCGAGAGUACGGUUACGUAUGAGAAGGGUUAUAGCACCCUCACAACGCCCAUCAAAAGAUGGUACUAGCUUAAUUUUAUGUUAUCCAAUAAGCCUUAAAAAUUUACCAAGUAAUUAAUUAUUGGAAAUUAUUCUCAAUUAACUCUAAUACUUUUAGCAGAAAAUAGAAAAAAUUUCCUCACCACAAGAGUAUGCAAGGAAACUACUGUUUCACUUGCAGAGGCUCUAUCGUCGGAUUAUUUAACAUUAAAAAAAAAUCAAAAAAGAAAAGAAAUAAAAUGAAAAAAAAAAACAAUAAUAAUUCAACUUUAGAUAUAAAUCCUUUUCUCUUCAAAAACUCAUUGCUUUUGUACAAGAAAAAUUGAUACUUUCAAUAUUUCCUUAAAAGCAUCUGAGAGUUUCUAUUUUAAGGAAAAUUGAUACUUUCAACUUUUCCUUAAAACGUUUUUUUUUAAGAAACAUUGAUACUUCCAACUUGUUCCCAAAAUGUUUUUCUGAAACUUUAAUUUCGAGAAAAAUUGAUACUUUCAACUUUUCCUCAAAAACAUUUUUUUUAAAUUUAUUUUUAAGGAAAAUUAAUACUUUUACGUUUUCCUCAAAAAUAUUUUUUAGAAAAUUAUUUUCAAGGAAAAUUUAUUCUUUCAAUUUUUCCGCGAAAAUAUUUUUUAGAAAACUUAUUUUCAAGAAAAAUUGAUACUUUCAACUUUUGCUCAAAAAUAUUUUUUAGAAUUUUAUUUUAAGAAAAUCAUUAAAAAAUAAAAUAAAAUAAAAAUGAGAAUAAAAAUAAAAUAAGGAAUACCAAAUUAUUCUAAUCUAAUCAAUAAAUAAUAAUAAUAAUAAUAAAUAAGGAAAAAAAAACUUUUGGAACGGUUCGGCUUGACUUAAUGCAGCUCGGCUUGAAAGAUAGAAGUGGUUCAAACGUGUGGCUCGGCUCGACUCAACUGGGGUCCAGGUAAAGACACAGUCGCUAACCGGGUUGGCGCUCGGGUUGGGUCACCCGAUUUCAAAACGUGCGAAUCUUCUGGGAAUAGUAAGGCUAAAACGACAUUGUUUUCGGUCAAUAUAAAAGGCUCCAACCUCUAUUUUUUCACAGAUUGCUUCCUUCCUCCUCUCUCUCUUCAUUUUUUUCUCCUUUUUCUUUCUAAAUAGAAUCCAGAUUUCGGUUGAAUGUCUACUAGAAUCUAGAAAAAUAGGUCAAAAACUUCAAAGGUGGCCGAAAAUCUCGUUGAAAAACUUGAAUCUUACUAAAAAAUUUCAUCGGAUUCUGAAAAAUUUUUAGAAAUUUUUAGAAAAAAAAACUUCAAAAAUUCUAAAAAAUUUCCCACAAAUUCCUAACAUUGUUUCUAACGCACUAGAAACUUUUUUAGCCUCUAUUUCCUCUCUGUGUAUUUUUUGAUCUUUUUGUGUGCUCUCUGUGGACUUAUAUAUAAAGAUUGAUCAGAAGAGUUUUUGAUCAAUCCUAACUCUUUCAAGGAUUUGGAUUCAAUCUUUGAAUCCAAUCCUAAUUCUGCCAACCUCUAAUUUCACGGUCAAAUCCAAUUUUUUCUGAUCCUAAUCCUAGCCAAAAAUCAAUCAAGAUAAAAUAAAAAAAUACAUAUUAAUAAUUAAUAGAUAAAUAAUAAAAUAUAUAUAUUAAUAAAUAAUAAUAAAAUAAAAAUAAAAUAAAAAAACAAAAGGGCUUACCCAUUUGGACCAGGCCCAAUUGAUCCGGGCCUGUACCAAAUUGGGUGUCUACAUAUGUUUGAAAAGGUUUUUGAGUCUACUUUUUUAUUAAACAAACGAAAUUGAAUUUGGAGUGUUUUAUGAAUAAAUAUAUAAUUUUUAUUAGAAGAUAUACAUACUAUCUGAUAGCAGCAUAUGACAUAGAUUACAAAAGUUAUUUCAAUUAAUCUAUAUGAAAUUACGAGGUGGGCCAUAUAUAGUUAAAAAAUUUAUCGAGUUUAAUUUCUAACGUACUAAAAAUAUUUUAAUUUUGAGUUGGAUAUCUUAAGAUAGGAUCAUUUUAGUGAAAGUAGCAUAGGCUACCAAAAUUAGUUAUAUAACUUAGUUGUUUUUAGUAUUAAUGGUCUUAAAGUGCAUUGAUUAAUAUCUGUUAUAUUGAAAUGAUUUUGAAUUGUCCAUUAAUUGUUUUGGGGGAAAAACUAAGUGGUAGAACCGAAAGGAAAUAAGUAGAAUCUUACACACUUUGCUUAUUUUAAAACUUAUGUAUAUAUAUAUAUAUAUGUUUCUAAAUAAAUGAGAUUUAUUUCUUUAUUUUCGAUAUAAGAAAAUAGGCUGAGCAUAUGAUUAUUUUACGUUUUGCUAUAUAAAUGAUGGAUCAUGUUUAUAAAUGAAAUGAGAAAUUGAUUUAUGUUUAAUGAAUGAUUUUAUAAUAGCUACAUAUUUUACAUCUUGAGAAGUGGGAUUAUCGAUACUAGAACUAAUUAUACGACCCUAGCUAACGGAUUAUAGUAGUUAACAUAGUCACGAUCAAAUGGUACUGCUAGUGAGUCAUAGUAGUUAGUGUAAAGGUCUGGCUAACAGGUUAUAAUAGUUACUAAAGAUCAUAAGGAUAAAAUUAUCGAUAUUGCCAAUGUUACGGAUUAUAAUAGUGAUCAUAAUUAAUGAUAAACUAAUGAUAAUGAUGAUUUAUAAUGAUGAUGAUUUUAAAGAUUGAUUCAUGAUUUGAUUUGAUUACAAUAUUUGAAUGGUAACAUAUUUUGUAAUGAUUUAUGAAUUGAUAUGUUUUGAUUUUGAUUUAUGAUCUACAAAAUAUUUGACAUAAUGUUGAUUUUUGAAAUAUUUUGAUGUAUUAUUUGACAAAUGUUUUGAAUUAUCUAUAUGAUAUGUAUGAAACCAAUGUUUGAUCCGAUAAAGUGUAUGAUCCUAUACUAGCUUAACUGUAAUUUGUUCAUUCUCUUUCUACCUUUUCUUUACACAUGAGUAACUGAUAAAUAUGUUUAGUCUUAUUAAAAGCUAGAAGAUCAAAUUAGAAAUAUUACUUGGGCAUUAAAAAUAUUGUUAGCUAGUGAGAUCUUAUGAAAUUAUUUUAUAUGUUUUUUAUGAAUUAACCUUUGGAUAUAUAGAGAUGUAUCAUUAGUUAGAUUAAAUUUAUGAAUUUUACUUGGGCAAAUUAUUUUUAUUAAAGAAUUUUAAAAUGAUUAAGAGAAAAAAUUUUGUUUUACUUUAAAGUUUUAUUUGAAGAUAAUAUAACAGUGUUACAUCUUAGUUUUGGGGUAUGACACCAUUAGUAGACAAGUCUUGACCAGAUUGGAUUACGUAUCAGCCAAUUUGUCAGGCAUUGCAACAGAUUUCAGGUAAUUGGAGAGUCUGCUAACAUGACAGGCUUGAGCUAGUUUAAUUUCUGCUUUUUGCUGUGAGAAAUAUUCCAAUUGAAGGAGGAAAGAUAGAUAAUUUGAUUAUGAACUGCGAAUCAUUUUUGUAGUAUAGUUAGACUCUGAAGUGAGGAGGUUAAGAUUACUCGCGAAACAUCCUUGAGAUGGAAACUUGGGAAGUGAGAGCAGCGACUCGUUUUGGUACUUUCAAAAAUAUGAUGCAUACUGAAGGAUGACAGAGUUAUCAUUCUUUCCUGCAUCAAUUUUGUCACGGUCCAAACUUAUUGUUCUGAAAAGCACUAGCCAAAGGCAAGACAUGGAUGCCGUGACUAUUCUCCUUUCCUACCAGGUCCUUAAGCGCCUUCUUCUUGAAAGUCCAGCUGCCAGUUCUCAGGUUGAAAUGGUAUAGAGGAAGAAAUCGUUGGCCAUAGAUGGCUACGAACUCCAACGCCGCAAGAAUGUAUUCAAACUCCUCAUUUGACAUGUAGUAAGGAAAGCUGACUCUUGUCCAUCCAGGUUUUGCUCCUAUGUAGCCCUGCAAUCAAACUUUGCAAUUGGCAUUAGAUAAGUUGAAUUAUAUUUUACUUCUCUUUCAUUUGGUCAAAAAAAAAAAAGGAAAAUUUUGUACUGAUACCCUUUUAAUAGCUUCUCUGAACGCAAGGGAUCGAGUCUGAUCAAUAUCAAGCAAACUGUGGCCAUAAGGUCCAGCACAAGCACACCCAUCUCGAUCUUGGAUGCCAAUCAGAUCAUUUAGGAUGGUUGCAACAAAAGGGCCAUGGAGAGGUUUAUCCCUCUUGUUCCCAGUCUCUCCCCACAUGAAAAGUCCCUUACCCUUUUCACCGCCCGUUCAACAUUGUUUAACCUCGUUGGUUGUGGAGUAGAUGAGGAAAAGACAUAUGGCUUGUCUCUGGGCUCGGUGCUUGAUUUCUAAACCCGUUAUGUUUUGGUUUGGAGAAAGCCUCAUCCAAUGCUUGAUUUAUGUCCAUACUUCUCCUGCUUUGGCAAUCACUCAUAACCAAUAUAUUCUUUUUACCCAAAAGUCAAUGCUGCUGCUAACAAUCUGAAUUAUUUGAGGAGUCCCUCCCAUUUUCCCCUUUCUUCUCAUGUCAUCUUACAUAUAUUGUGUCCUGCAAAAUACAUACCCCAUUUUACCACAUUUUAAAUUGCAUACCUGCUUCCCUAAAUGCUGGGGGAAUGAAUCUGAUAAUAUCAUGAUAACUUAUCAUUCUAUGUAGAAGUAUUUUUUAUGACACGUCGUGCCUUUAGGAAAUUUGGUUGGAAAAUCUCUUUUCUUCUUAAAAUUGUAAUUAAAAUAAAAAAAUUUUUUAGAGACACUUAUCAUUCACUAGUCUAUGUCUAAACCCGCUCCAUCUGAAUCAGGAAUUUAUUUCUAAACUCCAAAAAGCCUGACAGCUACCUAAUCAUUCUUUAUGUCGUCCAGUCGAAGAAAGAAACCAAAAUUUCUUACAAAAUGGGAUAUAUAAGCAAGAAUAAGAAAAAGGUAAAGAAAAUACAAAUUUCCAUUUUAUUGUAGAGAGGUGAACAAAAAAUAAAAUCUUUCAUCUAUUAAAUUGAAUUAAUCUGAACACAAAAAUAUAAUAAAAAUCUCUUCAUUUAUUAUCAAUUAAUUUUAAAUUUGAGUGUAAUUACCUGUUCAUUGAAGCCAUUGACAUAAUUAACAGUUCCACCUCCGCAAGUUGAUGGAGGAGAAGAUCCCAGCCGGUAGAGAGUCUUGCUCAUUAAAAGGAUGCCGGGCGUUCCAGGGCCACCUAGAAACUUAUGUGGGCUUAGGAAAAUGGCAUCAUAUCCAUCAAUCUCCCCUGACCUCAUAUCAAUCUCCACAUAAGGACCACUAUCCACAAAAACAAAAUGAUAAGCACUAUCAAAAAUCAACUUCUCAUUGCUUUAUAACAUUAACAUAAUACAUAAAACUUGGCUAAUAAUUAAUUGUGAGAUCUGUUAUUAAAAUAUUAAACUUUUAAUUUUAACAAUCAAAGAUUAAAUUCUGACAACCUCGAAUAUAAAAGCUUGACAACAAAAAAUGAAAAUUCUUACUGUGUACCUUGCUGCAGAAUCAAAGCAAACAAAACCUCCGUACUCAUGAAGAAGUUUGGCAAUCUCUCGAGUAUCUGUUUGAAUCCCAGUCACAUUACUACAAGCUGAAAAUGAGCCAAGCAAAGGCCUAUUGGCGUAUUUAUACAGCUCAACCUGUUUUCUUAGUGCUUCAAUGUCUAUGAACCCAUUCUCAUCUAAACCAAUCUCAACAACUUCAGCAAGGCUGUGACGCCAAGAAAGCAAGUUUGAGUGGUGCUCGUAAGGGCCAAUAAAAACUACCCAUCGAUACUCAUUCGGUAAGCAAUUUAUUACCAUGUCCCUCAAAAUUGAUGGUACCGUAAUCCCCAUAACUUCUUGUAGCCUUUUAAUAGCAGCCGUGUUGCCUGAGCCACAAAACAGAAUUGCAUCAUCUUGACCGCCUCCUAGGCUUCUUUUAAUGUAGUUUGACGCUUCAUGCACCAUUUUCGUCGUCCUGUGCCCCACGUAACAGUCAGACGUGUGAGUGUUACCUACGCACGAACCAACCAAGAUCAGCUGACAAAUACUAAAACCCUAAUAUAUAUAUAUAUAUAUAUAUUAUACUCGGAAAUGACGCCAUCACUUUUGUUAAUUAAAUCAGAGUAUCACAAUUGAAGAUCAGAAGAAAAAAAACCUUUACCGUAGAAUGGCAGAACAUUGGUGACGAUGAAGUUUUCGAUAUAGUGAAAAGAGCGACCCGAUGCAGUAUGAUCAGCAUAAGUAAGUUUUCUAGUUCCAAAAGGAGAGUCAAAUUCUGCAUCACCACCAGUGAUUUGAGAUCGUAGCCAAGACAGCUUUUUCUCGGUGGAGUCAACCUUUGGCACAUCCAUCUCUAGAGCCCUGAAUGAUUCCGAGCCAUGGAAGAGUUUGCUGGAAACAUAGGAACGGCAUGUUGAUCCUGGUGACUUAUGCCUGUCCCUGGUUGAAGUCUUACUAUCAUUUGCUGCCUUCAAUUUCAGGGCUUCCGUUGUUUCUCUAAACAUGGGUUGCUCAAACUCCAUUUCCCACCUGGAAACAAAGAUUAGUGCCUGUUUUUAUUGUUGUUGUCGCUUAUGACAGGAGAAAGAAUGGAAAAAGUAGUUGUAGAAGAAGAAAAAGAUAAGAAUGAGGGUAAGGAAGGCAGACUUCGUUAUUUAUAUCCUAUUAAAAUACAAAGUAACCUUUUGACACGGUUUCAUUUUUUUAAUUAAUAAAACAAAAAGACAAAGUUUUAGGCGUGAGGGGGGUUUGACUCCGAAACCAUGGCCUCUACACUCCAAUAAGAAAAAUAUUGCUGUCUCAGAAACAAUGGGAUCUCUAAAAAGGAUUGAAAAAAAAAAAAAAAAACCUACAGAAAAUAGUAAGCCUACGUUUGGAAUAUAUUAUUCCUUGGAGUGUAAGAAUUUCCAUAUUUCUCAUUCCUCUCCCUAAAAUUUGAUUAUGGAGUAUCAAAUAGCCCAAGCAAUUGUUAGAAAAACAUUGAACCUUUCCUGGUCUACUUGGUUUGGAACGUGAUGUAUCCAAUCUGCCGUAUUAAUAAGGAGAGCAUUGCUAUUUAGAGGUGUCAAUAAUAUACCCAUACUCACGAGUUAUUCAUUUUAUAAAUUAGAUUACUUAAUUGAUAAAAAGAAUGAGAAUUUUUGUAUCUCAUUAUAAUUUGCACGGAUAGUUAUGAUUUCAAAAGAGUAAAAUGUGUAAAGAAAGCAAAGAAUUUGAUUGCUUUUCAGAAACUUAAUAUGAUUUUGGCAAUAUGCAUGAUAAUUUUAUUAAUGAUUAUUCAUCAAUAAGUAACAUUUAUGAAUUAAAAUUAAAUUUUGAUUUAUUGAAAAAGUAUUAAAAAAAUCAGUUAAAAAAAAUAAAUGAAAGAAUGAAGAAACAAACAAACGGAUCAAAUAAAAAAAAAAUAAAAAGAGAACCAACACAAAAUAAAAGUAGUGAAAUAGAUCUUCAAACCAAUACUCCACCACACUCAAGGCUAUUCAUUUGUAUUUGUGAUGAAGUGGCAUAUUAAAAAUAAAUAAUUUAAUUUAAUUAAGAAUGAUUUAAGAUAAAUAAUAAAAAUUUGAUUACUAAUUGAUAUAAUUUUAACUAUAGAAGGUAAAUAAUACAUACUCUUUAAGGUAAUGUUGUUCUUUCCAAAAUAGUUAAAUAUAAAAAUAAGCCAUUUAUUAUGCAUUUCUUAUCAAUUUGGCACCAAAAAAAUAAAAUAUUUAGUUUGGCACUCUAAUUUUCUUUCUUUCAUCACUUUGUUAUCGGAAACUAGCGUCAUCAGUCAAUUUAUUGACGUGAUAUAAAUAUCUAAUAAGAUAUUAACACAUGCUGAGAAAAUCUAAUCAAUGUCAAAUCAUCAAUAUUACAUCCGAAUUUAAAGAAAAUUUAAAAAAAUUUAAAUAUUUUUUAAAAAAUAUUUAAGCAUUUUAAAAAUUAUUUUAAAAACAAAAACUAAAAUUUUAAAAAUUUUUAAAAAUUAUUAAAACUUAAAAAAUUAAAAAAAUCUCAAAAUUUUAUUAGAAAAAUAAAAAAAUUUUGAAAUUUUCAUAAAAAUGAUAAUUUUAGUAAACAUAAAGUUUUCAUAAAUUUAAAAAAAAAAUCUCUAAAGCUUAAAAAAUUGAAAGUAAAAGAUCUAAAAUUUUUUGAAAAUAUCUAAAAAUUUUAAAAUAAUUGUAAUUCUUAUAAAUUAGGAAAAUUCUUCAUUUUUUUAAUCUUACAAUUUUAAUUUUCUUAUAUAUUUUGUGAUUUUUUACAUUUUUUUAAAUGUUUAUGGAUUUUUAUUAAAAUUUUAAGUUUUUUAUUUUAUAUUUUUCAAAAAAUUUAAUUUUUAGUAAAUUUCUUAGAAUAUUUCAUAUUUUUGAAAUUUUUUUAAUUUUUUCAAAAUUUUUGAAAAUAUUUUAUAAAAUUUUAGAUUUUAAUAAAAAUUAGAUUUUUUGUAAUUUUCAAAUUUUGUCAAAAAAUUCUAGAUUUUUUAGUUUUUGUGAACCUAUUUUUUUUAAUUUUUUAGAAUAUUUUGGAUUUUUUUUGGAUUUUUUGUCAAAAUUUGAGAUUUUAUGAAUUUUUUAAAGUUUUGAUAUUUUUUUAAAUUUUAUGUUCAAAUAAGAUUUCAUAUUUAUUUAAUUUUUCUAAUUUUAAAAAUAUUUUAGCUUUUAAAUUUUGUUGAAUUUUUUUACUAUUGAUGUGGUAAUUGAUGAUGUGGCACUACUAAACUUUUUGAUACAUGUCAGUAUCUUAUUAGAUGUUAAUGCCAUGUUGACAAAUUGAGUAAUUGCUUUAGUACGAGGUAUCAAAGUAAAUGGCGAAAUGAAAGUUAAAGAACCAAAUUGAUAAUUUUGUUUCUUAAAGUACUAAACUGACAGAAAGUGUAUAGUACAUGAAAUAUUUUUAUAUUUAACUUUUCCAAUCAUGAAAAAACCUAAAAGAGACUUGAAAUUGUUAUACAUGUAAUCGAUAAUCAUUCCUUAGUGUUGACCUUUAGAGUUCAAAGGAUGUCUCAUACCCAAAUAAUUUUUGGGUUUUUCCUACAUGUAAUAAUAAUAUUAAUUACCAAAUUACUGCUUAAUUUGAAAAAAAAAUGACAUUAAUAUAAAGAUAAAUGUACAUAAAAGAGAAGUUCUUUGUCCUUAGCUCUUUCCCUAAACAGUUGGAUCUCUAGCUCUACCUGUAAAUCAUUUAACGAAACACAAAUCAAUUGAUUACGUCACAACAUAUAAGUGAUUUAGUUACAAAUUAUGAUUCUUCUCAAACAAUAAAAUGAUGGGUGAUUGUGAUUGGAAUGAAACAAUAAAAAAUUUUCAUCGAUGCCUUUCGUUGCUGUUUCAGACACAGACUUGGCAAUGGUAAUGAUAAAAUGAUUAGUGACUGUGGCCAUGAUUAAAUUUUUAAAAUAAUCUAAUGAUAAGAGAAUAAUAUGCAACAUAUCUUUCAAAUUUGAAAUAGUAAAAAACAAAUCUAAUCAAUUUUAAUCCAAAUAUACAUUUAAUAUUUUUGGUCAAUAUAUUCUUGAAAAAUGAUUAAAUUAAAAAAAAAAAGAAAAAUUCUAGAAUUGACAUUUAUGAAUUCAAGAUUUAUACAAAAUUUUUCAUAUUUGAUAGGUUUUCAUUUUGAAUUUAAAUAAUUUAUCAAAUAGAAUUACUUUAUAAACCCAUUUUAGAGAUAAUAUAUUAUUACAAUUGAGAUUUUUAUAUUUAAAAAAUAUGUUUAUAUUAUUAGGAAAUUUAUUUUUAAUAAAAAUAUAUCUAAAUUAGAUUUUAUUGUUAACAAUUUUAAAAUUAUCCAUGUAGAUAUCCAUAUAAGUUAAUUUUUUGUGGUAAAUUCCUAUGUGUCAAAAAAUGAUAUAUAUAUAUAUAUAGGCAUUUACAUAUCCCAUAAUACUUACAUCUAAAAUUUGAAAGUUUUCGAUAACUAAAUUUUUUUAAAUAUAUUAUUUCUUGAUAAAUAGCCUAAAAUUAAGAAAUGUCUUAUAUGUCGUUAUAGAGAAAUUUUAAGAAUUUUAUCACAUGUCGAAAAGAAAAACCAUCAAUGUAAGCAAACCUUAUCAUGUAACAAUGUAUCCUGUAAUAUAAUAUAUAUUAUAUUUUUUUAAAAGAUUAUUAGUUAUCCAAGUGAUAAAAAUAGUCAUACUUGACACAGACCCCAAGUCUUAAGAUUUCACAAUGUAUAUAAUAAACUUUAAUUUUCCAUGUGUACAUAUACUAACAAAGUAAAAUAACAACAUAAAAUGUCAACCAAUGAUUCUCAUCAUUCAAGCAUAGAUUUAAAUAUCACAUAGAUAUUCCAAGCAUAAAGGGAAAGGUCCAACAUAGAGACAAACCAUAAUGUGUGAGUAUAAAAGACAAAUGAUAUACUCUUAAUAAUAAAUUACAUCAAAAGACCCUAAAAUACCUAUGUUCUCAAUAUGUUUACCAAAUACUAUAGGUCUUAUUCCUGUAGUCCAAGGAUCAACAAUCACGUUGUUAGUCUGAAUGUGUUUGACAACAAUAUUAUAAUUUUUCAUAAAAUCCCUAACUUUAAAAUAUAUUAUCUCCAAAUGUUUAAACCACUAAUGCUCUUGUUGUUCUUAGAAAACAACAUAGUUGACCUAUUAUCCCAAUAAAUCUUUAAAGGUCUGGAGAUGGAAUUAAUAAUACAAAGGCCUGACAUAAAAUUCAUAAGCCAAAUUGCCUAUGUAGUAGCUCUAUCGCAUGCAACAAACUCAACUUGCAUAAUGGAAAAAAAUAAGAGUGUUUGUUUCACAUAUUUCCAAGACAAAGCUCCUACAUCGACAUAAAAAAAUACCUUGAAGUGGACUCCAUGUCAUCCUAACAACUAGUGAAGUUAGAAUUUAUAUACCCUAUUAUCUGAAGAUUGUCCAUUUUUUUGUAUACCAACGUAUGGUUUUUUUGUCUUUUGCAAGUACCUAAUCACCUUCUUAACAGCAACCUAGUGAUUCAUACUAGGAUUUGAAAGAUAUCUCUCAAGAACUCACUCUGCAAAAGCAAUAUCUAGCCUAGUACAAACUUGAGCAUACAUGAGACUCCCAACUGCACUAGAAUAUGGUAUGUUCAUCAUGGAUUCUUUCUCCAAAUCAUUCUUUGGGCAUUGACUAAGAUUAAGUUUAUCACCUUUAACAAUGAGUGCAUUCCUAGCCUUACAACUUUGUAUGUUAAAUUUAUUAAGCGCAUGAUUAAUGUAAGACCUUUGCAAUAGUCCCAACAAAUUUUGAGAUCUAUCUCUAUGAAUUUCAAUCCCAAGAACAAAGGAAGCAUUCCUAAGGUUUUUAUAUCAAAAGUCUUGGAGAAUAGCUACUUAAUUUCAUGUAACAAACCAAUAUCAUUACAAGCCACUAAGUGUCAUCCACAUAUAACACAAGAAAGAUAUAUUUACUCCCCCUAAUUUUAAGGUGUAUGUAUUGAUCAACUUUAUUUUCCUCAAAACCAAGGGAAGUAACUAUCUGAUCAAAUUUUAGAUACCUUUACUUAGAAGCUUAUUUAAGGGCAUAGAUUGACGUUUUAAGUCAACUUACUAAAUGUUCCUUUUCAGAUUCUUGAAAUCUUUUUGGUUGCAUAAUGUAAACCUUUUCUCUAAAAUCACAAUUGAGAAAAGCCGUCUUUACAUCCAUCUAAUAAAGCUUCAAGUUAAAGUGUACUACCAAGGCCAUAACAAUCCUAAAGAAAUUUUUGGAAGACACUGGUAAAAACAUUUUGUUAUAAUCUACUCUUUCCCUCUAAAUAAAUCACUUUGCCACCAAUGUAACUUUAAAUAUCUCAAAUUUUUCUUUAGACCCUUUCUUGGUUUUAUACACCUAUUUACAACCAAUGGAUUUAUACUCUUUUGGCUGUUUAACAAGCUCCUAAGCACCAUUUUGAGCCAUAAAAUUUAUCUCAUUUUUUAUUGCAUCCAUCCAUACAUUAAAUUACAAAUGCUAAUAGUUUCACCAAAAGUCACAAGGUUAACAACAUGACUAAUGUCAUAGUCACUCUCUCAAUGAUAAAUUACAUAAUCAUUAGAGAUGUCGGAUCUUCUUUGUUUAAAAGAUCUCCUAAAAGGUAUUUCAAUAUCAUUCUUUCAAACUUGAAGUACAUCAGUAGGAUGAAGGUUUAUGUCCUAUUGCCUUGAUCUCUUCUUUCAAUGGCCACUAGCAUAAUAUGGCACUGUAUUAUAGGUAAAGUUAUGAAGAUAUGUCUAACAGAUUCACGGUUAUCCACAGCCUCUAUCACACUCUUAUCAACAACAUGUAGUUUAAGAAACUUUGCCACAUGUGACUCUACAAACUUAGUUCCACGUAUAGGACAAUAAAACUUAUAUCCCUUGAAACGAUCUAGAUACUCUAAAGAAAAGCAAUGAGUACUCCUAGGUUCAAUCUUUUUCUCAAAAGGUUAUAGAUUCUAACUUCUGCAAGAAAUCCACAAACUUUAAAAUGAUUCAAUUGGGGUUUCAUACCAAUCUACAAUUCAGAAGUUGUUUUAGGAACAAAUUUACUAGGUACUUUAUUAAGUAUAUACAAGACGGUUUUAAUACCUUCACCUCAAAAGGACUUAAGAAGAUUGGUCCUACAUAUAAGCUCUUUAUCAUACCCUUAAGGGUGUGAUUUUGCCUUUCGACCACACCAUUAUGUUCAAGACUACCAAGCAUAGCAUAUCAAGAAAAAUCUGACAUUCUUGUAAGUAUUUAGAAAAUGGUCUCAUAUGUUAUCUAAUUUCGCCAUAUCUACCAUCAUACUCACCACCUUGGAGCUAAUGACUUUGAUAACUUUCCCUAAUUCUUUCUCUACCUCAGUUUAAAAAUUUUAAAUUUUUAAAAGCAUUUCAAUUUUCAUCAAUUAGGUCAAGAUACCCAUAGCGAAAAUAGUCAUAAAUAAAAGUAACAAAAUAUAUGUUACCACAAAAGAUAGAUAUAAGAGGUCCACUAUUAUUAGUGUACAUAAUUUUCAAAAGGUCAAAAUUGCAAAUUGCAUCAUUUUUCUUAGUCGUAGUUAGUAUAUAUUUUAUACAAUCAACACAAGUGUCUAACUUUUCAAAACCAAGGGAAGGUAAAGUACUAUUUUUUUAUCAAUUUUUGCACUUUUUCACUAGAAAUGUGACCCAACUUUUUACGCCACAACAAAAAAGACUUUUCUUUAGUUAGAGAUUUUUAAGAUACUGUCUUUUCCACAUUAUUGCAACUAUAUUAAUUAUCAUAUGCCAAGCACGGUUUGUAUAAAUUGUCAAUUAGUUUAAAUUCAUCAAUAAUGAAUUCUCUUUAGUCAAAGAUUUUUUAGUCACUAUUUUUUCAACAUUAUUGCAACUAUAUUAAUUAUUGUAGGCUAAGUUUAUAUAAAUUGUCAAUUAGUUUAAAUUCACCAACAACAUUUGAAUUUUAAAACAAGUCAACUUUUUCAUAUCCAAUGCCAAAAUAAUAACCAUGUUUGUCCAAAAUAAAAACUAAAAUGAAAUUCCUCUGAAAUGAAGGUGUAUGAAAAACAUUUUGCAAAAUAAGCUCAAAGUCAGAUUCUAAAUUUAAGCCUAUUGUUCCUACAUAAUUAAUGGCUACUUCAGUAUUGUUUCAAACUCUAUGUGUUGCCUUUUUCUCACUUAGCUUUCAUUUGUUUUUGAAUCCUAGCAAAGGUAACAACAAUAUGAAUAGUUAAACCACUAUCAACCUACUAGGAAUUUGGUAAGCCACUGACAAAUUAGGAUAUAAAACAAACGACAGCUAGUGAGUUCCCUUCUUAUUUAUUUUUUUUCUUUAACCAAGCUUGAUAUUUAGGGUAUUCAUGUUUCAUAUGACAUUUUUUUUAUAGGAAAAACACUUGAUAUCUUUCUUAAUGAUAGCUUUAAGCCCUCUUACCUUUGUAGUCUGACCACUACCUUAUCCCUUGUUUUCUUGAUCUUUCUUGUGAGCAUUAGGAACAAAUUUCCUAGAUUUCUCAUAAUUUUUUUUGUAAUUAUAUUUGGAGUAUGUAGCAAAAAAAAACACUUUCACCCAUUUCUUUCUACAGUUUUUCUUCCUUAGAGACAAACUUUUAAAUAAGAUCAUUAACACUUCAAAACCUCAUUCAUAGCAUUAUAGACAGUUUUGAUCUGAGUGAACUCCAAAAGUAAGGCAUUGAGGGCGUGAUGAACAAUGAAUUUAUCAAGAAUGUCAAUUUCAUGAGAAGUCAAUUUGGUUUGAAUGUGGACCAUUCUCAUGAUGAAAUCUCUAGCACUCUUAACACUAUCAUACCUUACUACUUGUAAGCUCACUCAUAAGGUUCUUAGCUUUACACUAUAAUGGAUUUUUGGUAAUUUAUUGCCUUCAGCAGGUAAAGAUCCCUUAAGCAAUUUUUGUGGUAUCCAACUCACUCAAAAGGUAUUCAAAAAUAGAAAUAUUAAUGACAUAUAGACGUAUAUGAUUUGUCUUUUCCCAUUUGGGAAAAUAUUCCUUUUCUUUAGCAAUGCUUUCAUUAGUAAAAUUAGCAGGCUUUGAAAAAUGUAAGGCUACGUCUAUCUCAUUUAUAACUAAAGCAAAAUUCAAAUCUUCAUUCCAUUUUUUAUAAUUAGACCCAUGAAGAACUUUAAUAGUUGCUUAUUGUUAUUGAUAAUAAAAGUCAACAUUCAAGAUAAAAAUGCAACAUUAGUAAAUGGCAAUAUCAUAAAAUAUAUAGCAACAGUUCAUGAUGUACUAACAAUUAUUGAAAGGUCUUGGUACAUCACCACAAACUCUUUUUUGGAUAAAGAAUGUAAUAUACGAGUGGGAACUUUUCGGAUAACGCUAAUAUGAAAAUGUGCUAGCUUUUAAAAAUUAUAUCCCCUUCGGACAGAUAGAUUUUCUAGAUUGGUAAAACUUCAACCAUGAUGAUUUAUAUUCCAAAACAAAUUACCUUAUACAUUAACCCCCUUUAGGCAGUCAAUUGCAUAAAAUAAUUUAAUAACCAUCCCGUAACCAUAGAAUGAUAAAAUAUUACAUUAAUUUCAAUAAGUGAGCCAUUUUGACAACCAAAUAUUGAUAUCAAUUAAUGAAGAUUUUUUCAAAUAAAAAAAUUUCAUUAAUUGCUCAAAACUCUCAGUUUACAAACUCAACCAUAAUGUGUGCAAUGGACUAUCCCAACUAAGAAACUAACCCUAAAUGUAUCUAAUUAGGUAUUAUAAGCAGUGUACAUUAAAUUUAAACUAGUGUCUUGAAUUUUUUUUAAAAUCAAUUUGUAAUUACUAAAUCAACUACGCACUUAAGAGCACAUAAAUAUCAAGGCCUAUUUAGGAAGAAUACCUAUUAUCAUUAGACUCUCAUCAUACCAAAAUAUCACAAAAUAAAAUAAUAAAUAAUAUGUAUAACAUAUAGUAAUUUCUGAGCAAUGCAUGAAUAUCAAACAAAUAUUUCAUGCAGUUUAAAAAUUUUAAAAAAAAUUAGAAAUAAAAUUCCAAGUUUGCCAAAACUAACUAAAGAAAAAAUGGUGCUAGACGAGACGACACGUGCCCCAUGUGCCACCCACCAUGCAUGGAUUUUGUUCAACAUGGGGAAUGGUUUUUUUUAACCUCUAAAUGAGUUGACUCAAUGCGACUGGAAUAAUUCUUUACCUAUUCUAGUCUGUUCGUAUUUUUCCACCAUUUUUUAUGCAUUUUCUUGGUAAUUUCAACAAAUUGAAGCGCCCAAAAAUAAAACAAAUUUUCUAUCAAACCCUUGAUAAAAAAGUAUAAAACAAUGACAAAAAUAAGAUCAAUUGGUUAAAAUUUUUCAAAUUACAUAAAUAUAUAUUAGACCGCUUUUUGUUUUUUUUGUGUUUGGCUAAUCUAAAACAAUAUGAAAUAAAAACGCUUUGAUUUAACUUUAUAACACAUGAGAAACAUGAUUCCAGAAUCAAUUUUUAAUUAAACACAUAAAAUGUUUGAUGUUUUAAUCAAAACAAGAAUUUAGAUUAAAACCUAAACCCAAAAAUUCUCAACCUUGAUUUCUCUUUCGAUAUAAGGAAUUAGAAAAUGAUCAUUAUAUAAUUUUAAUCUUUUUUUAGAGAGGAACUAAAAUCUUAAAUCAAUUUCAAAAAAUAAAGAUCAAAAUUUAAAAUUUUGACAAUAAUAUAAUUUCACACUAAAUAUGUUGUUUGUUCAAAAAUCAAUUACAAAUCAUGAUUUUAGGGGCCAAAUAUCACAUAAUGAUAGCUCUGAUACCACACGUAAACAUUAACCCAAGUUCAUUGUUUGAUAAUUAGAACAUCGUAAAUAAAUAAAGAGCUUUGUCAUACUUAUUUGGGUGGUCAUGACGAAUAUAUGAAGCAAAACAAUACUUAAAGUGCCUAGGUCUUCCUCUUCACUAUUCUCUUAUUAGUGACACUCAAUGAGCAGUAACUGUAACUCGUAUAAAAGUAAAAAAGAAAAGGUUAUCUGAACCUAUUUUUAUUGAAAACCCUUAAAGCCUCCUCAUCAAACACUUAGUAGACUAAAGGUCUACAAAACCUCUAAACCAGAUUGAUCUAGUAAGCUAUGUAAGUCUUACAUUUAAGUGAUCACAUUAAAUUAUUUAAACUCUCAAGCUUAUCUCGUAUUAAGAGUAAACACAUCAAUCAAUUUUAUUAAAUUAUUAAAACCAACUAUUAAUGGUAGCCCACUUAUGAACAAUUCUUGCUCUAUAUCCUAAUAAGACAUCAACAGAGAGUUUAUAAAGUAAAGAUGAAGACUAUAUAAAGAGCAAUGGUGGUGGAAAGAUUAUUUUCUAAAUAAAAAUUUGGAUGUUGAAGCGGUCUUCAUAAAAGAUGACUCUCUAUGUUAAAGUGGUUCCACUAAAAUAGUAUACUAAGGUCAUAUUUGAUACAUAUGAUUAUUAACAGAAUAUGAAGAAUAUUUGUAAGGUUUGCAAUGAGGAUUAAUAUCCUCUUGGUAUAGGAUUAUUCAACCCUCUCAAAGUAAAGAGGAUAAUUUUUAAAUUUAUAGAUUAAACUUGCAGGUUCAAUUAUACCCUUAAAAAUUACUUUAAUAAUUUAAAUUGUAUAAACUUUGAAUAAGGAUAAUUUUGACAAAUAAAUAAAUUAUCCUAUCCUAAUCUUUACAUAUAGCAAACACAAAAUAAGAUGACAUUAUUUAAUCUAAUUCUAUUUAUAAUAUCAUUGUACCCUAUCAAGUUAUAAUCUUAUGUACUAAACAUGGCAUAAGAUUAUUAUAUCUAUGUAUAUUGAUAUUAUUUGUUAUUUUAUAACUAAGCUUUUGCGAUUCACAUAUUGUGAGGGGUUUCUAUGAUAACUUUUUAAAAGGCUAUUUGGCAUGAUUGCAAAUACAUGACAUCAUACAUGCUAAUAAAGGAUUAGGAUAGAGCGGUAUAUUCGAAUUCACCCAUAAGGUACUGUGUGAAUUGAAUUCCUNNNNNNNNNNNNNNNNNNNNNNNNNNNNNNNNNNNNNNNNNNNNNNNNNNNNNNNNNNNNNNNNNNNNNNNNNNNNNNNNNNNNNNNNNNNNNNNNNNNNNNNNNNNNNNNNNNNNNNNNNNNNNNNNNNNNNNNNNNNNNNNNNNNNNNNNNNNNNNNNNNNNNNNNNNNNNNNNNNNNNNNNNNNNNNNNNNNNNNNNNNNNNNNNNNNNNNNNNNNNNNNNNNNNNNNNNNNNNNNNNNNNNNNNNNNNNNNNNNNNNNNNNNNNNNNNNNNNNNNNNNNNNNNNNNNNNNNNNNNNNNNNNNNNNNNNNNNNNNNNNNNNNNNNNNNNNNNNNNNNNNNNNNNNNNNNNNNNNNNNNNNNNNNNNNNNNNNNNNNNNNNNNNNNNNNNNNNNNNNNNNNNNNNNNNNNNNNNNNNNNNNNNNNNNNNNNNNNNNNNNNNNNNNNNNNNNNNNNNNNNNNNNNNNNNNNNNNNNNNNNNNNNNNNNNNNNNNNNNNNNNNNNNNNNNNNNNNNNNNNNNNNNNNNNNNNNNNNNNNNNNNNNNNNNNNNNNNNNNNNNNNNNNNNNNNNNNNNNNNNNNNNNNNNNNNNNNNNNNNNNNNNNNNNNNNNNNNNNNNNNNNNNNNNNNNNNNNNNNNNNNNNNNNNNNNNNNNNNNNNNNNNNNNNNNNNNNNNNNNNNNNNNNNNNNNNNNNNNNNNNNNNNNNNNNNNNNNNNNNNNNNNNNNNNNNNNNNNNNNNNNNNNNNNNNNNNNNNNNNNNNNNNNNNNNNNNNNNNNNNNNNNNNNNNNNNNNNNNNNNNNNNNNNNNNNNNNNNNNNNNNNNNNNNNNNNNNNNNNNNNNNNNNNNNNNNNNNNNNNNNNNNNNNNNNNNNNNNNNNNNNNNNNNNNNNNNNNNNNNNNNNNNNNNNNNNNNNNNNNNNNNNNNNNNNNNNNNNNNNNNNNNNNNNNNNNNNNNNNNNNNNNNNNNNNNNNNNNNNNNNNNNNNNNNNNNNNNNNNNNGUUUACAAACUCAACCAUAAUGUGUGCAAUGGAUUAUCCAACUAAGAAACUAAGCCUAAAUGUAUCUAAUUAGGUCUUAUAAGCAGUGUACAUUACAUUUAAACUAGUGUCUUGAAUUUUUUUUAAAAUCAAUUUUUAAUUACUAAAUCAACUACGCAUUUAAAAGCAUAUAAAUAUCAAGGCCUAUUUAGGAAGAAUACCUACUAUCAUUAGACUCUCAUCAUACUAAAAUAUUUUAUCACAAAAUAAAAUAAUAAAAUAAUAUGUAUAACAUAUAGUAAUUACUAAGCAAUACAUGAAUGUUAAACAAAUAUUUUCAUGCAGUUUAAAAAUUUUACAAAAAAUUAGAAAUAAAAUUCCAAGUUUGCCAAAAGAAACUAUAGCAAAAAUGGUGCUAGACAAGCCCGCACGUGCCACAUGUGCCACCCACCAUGCAUGGAUUUUGUUCAAGAAAGGGAAUGGUUUUCUUUAACCUCUAAAUGAGUUGACUCAAUGCGACUGAAACAAUUCUUUACCUAUUCUAGUCUGUUCGUAUUUUUCCACCAUUUUUUAUGCAUUUUUUUCAGUAAUUUCAACAAAUUGAAAUGCCCAAAAAUAAAACAAUUUUUAUAUCAAAACCUUGAUAAAAAAUUAUAAAAAAAUGACAAAAAUAAGAUCAAUUGGUUAAAAUUUUUCAAAUUACAUAAACAUAUAUUAGACCCUUUUUGUUUUCUUCGUGUUUGGCCAAUCUAAAACAAUAUGAAAUUAAAUGCUUUGAUUUAACUUUAUAACACAUGAGAAACAUGAUUCAAGAAUCAAUUUUCAAUUAAACACAUAAAAUGUUUGAUGUUUUAAUCAAAACAAGAAUUUAGAUUAAAACUUAAACCUAAAAAUUUUCAACCUUGAUUUCUCUAUCGAUAUAAGGAAUUAGAAAAUGAUCUUUAUACAAUUUUAAUCCUUUUUAGAGAGGAACUAAAAUCCUAAAUCAAUUUCGAAAAAUAAAGAUCAAAAUUUAACAUUUUGAAAACAACAUAAUUUCACACUAAAUAUGUUGUUUGUUCAAAAAUCAAUUACAAAUCAGGAUUUUAGGGGCCUAAUAUCACAUAAUGAUAGCUCUGAUACCACACGUAAACAUUAACCCAAGUUCAUUGUUUGAUAAUUGGAACAUCGUAAACAAAUAAAGAGAUUUGUCAUACUUAUUUUGGUGGUCAUGACGAAUAUAUCGAAGCGAAAUAAUACUUAAAGUGCCUAGGUCUUCCGCUUCACUCUUCUCUUAUUGGAGACACUCAAUAAGCAGUAACCGUAACUCGUAUAAAGUAAAAAAAAAAAAAAGGUUAUCUGAACCUAUUUUAAUUGAAAACCCUUGAAGCCUCCUCAUCAAACACUUACUAGACUAAAGGUCUACCAAACCUCCAAACCAGAUUGAUCUAGUAAGAUGUGUAAGUCUUACAUUUAAGUGAUCACAUUAAAUUAUUUAAACUCUCAUGCUUAUCUUGUAUUAAGAGUAAACACAUCAACCAAUUUUAUUAAAUUAUUAAAACUAACUAUUAAUGGCAGCCCACUUAUAAAUUAUUCUCGCUCUAUAUCCUAAUAAGACAUCAACGGGGAGUGUAUAAAGCAAAAAUGAAGACUAUAUAAAGAGCAAUGGUGGUGGAAAGAUUGUUUUAUAAACAAAAAUUUGGAUGUUGAAGCGGUCUUCAUAAGAGACGACUUUCUGUGUUAGAGUGGUUCCAUUAAAAUAGUAUACUAAGGUCAUAUUUGAUACAUAUAAUUAUUAAUAGAAUAUGAAGAAUAUUCGUAAGGUUUGCAAUGAGGAUUAAUAUCCUCUUAGUAUAGGAUUAUUCAAUCAUCUCAAAGUAGAAAGGAUAAUUUUUAAAUUUAUAGAUUAAACUUAUAGGUUCAAUUAUACCCUUAAAAAUUAUUUUAAUAAUUUAAAUUGUAUAAACUUUGAAUAAGGAUAAUUUUGACAAAUAAAUAAAUUAUCCUAUCAUAAUCUUUACAUAUAGCAAACACAAAAUAAGAUGACAUUAUUUAAUCUAAUUUUAUUUAUAAUAUCAUUGUACCCUAUCAAGUUAUAAUCUUAUGUACCAAACAUGGCAUAAGAUUAUUAUAUCUAUGUAUAUUGAUGUUAUUUGUUAUUUUAUAACUAAGCUUUUGCGAUUCACAUAUUGUGAGGGGUUUCUGUGACAACUUUUUGAAAGGCUCUUUGGUGUGAUUGCAUAUACAUGACAUCAUACAUGCUAAUAAAGGAUUAGGAUAGAGCGGUAUAUUCGAAUUCACCCAUAAGGUACUGUGUGAAUUGAAUUCCUCAAUUCUUUUUAUUCAUGACCUAGAUUGGUGUAUUAUAUUACAGAAUGGUGGUGUAUCACAAUGAUUUUAUGUUGUUGUACAGCAAUUAUUGUUCAUUUCUUCAAACAUCAGUAAAUAAGAUUGAAGAACAGGUGCAUUGUCCUAAAACCAAAUGAACUUGAGUAAAAACCAUCAGCUCUAGGGAUUUUCGAAGAACUUGGAUAUCAUUUUGUUUAUUGAGAACCAAAUGAUGGAAAGAAAUAGGAAAGUAGUAUCGAAAUUAGGAAUAACCUUUAGUUUACAAUAGAUAAGUUGGUUGAUUUUGUCUGUGUACACUCGGGUAUACUAUUUUUUAUUUAUGUUAAUGAGCCUCACACAAAUCUUCAAUUUGGCUGACUUUAGGACUGAUAUUAGGUUCUGGAAGUCUAGAAUGCCUACUGAAUAUAUAGGGUGAAGAAAUCUAAAUAUUCAAUACUGAAAUUAUUUUAUACCUUGAUCUUAGCAUAUGAUAUUGGAAGUAGUUUACUAAAAUUGGGUAAGUUAUAUUGAGACAUUGAUAUUUCAAUUGGCUAUAUGUUAUACCUUUUUCAUAUUUUUUUAUCCUAAAGAUUGAAGGAAAAAUUCUAUUUUUAGAUGAGAUGUUAUGAUUUGCAAGAGUGAAUUAAAAUGGAAUUUGUAUUAAUGGAUAAAUUAUUACUUUAAGUAUUAUAUAUUGUUGGAAAGCUUGUUGAAUUUACUUUACAAUGAAAUAAACGUAAGUCGAAUCAAAGUUUUCUAUUAAGAGUUGUGUAAUUUUUAUUUAAUGAUAUGUAGACUGCCUGACAACGGUAGCAAUGAGGAAUUACAAAAUUUCUCUGAAUUUUUAUACAAUGAAUUACGAAUUGAGCCAUACAUGUUUAAAAAGGUUAUUGAGUUUAUAUUCCAAUGAAACAAGCAGAAUUGAAUUUGGAGUCUUUUAUGAAUAAAGAUAUCAUUUUGAUUACAAUACAUACAUGUUGUCUGGUAGUAGCAUAUGAUAUGGAUUGCAAAAAUUAUUACAAUUAAUCUACAAUAAAUUAUGAGGUGGGCCAUAUAUGUUGUCAUAACAUCUAGAUCCAGAGAUCCAUUGCUAGAUAUUAUUUUUAAGAGUCGUCACCAAUCUUUUUUAUCUAGGUGCGAUUGGUCACCUAGAGAAUUUAUCCUUUUAAAGAACACCUAAGCCUAAGGGUCCCUAAAAGAAUAGUUUUAGGUCUACUAAUCGGUACAGGGUUCGAGAGUACAGUUACGUGUGAGGAAGGUUAUAGCACCUUCACAACGCCCAUCUAAAGAUGGUACCAGCUUAAUUUUAUGUUAUCCAAUAAGCUUUAAAAAUUUACCAAGUAAUUAAUUAUUAGAAAUUAUUCUUAAUUGACUCUAAUACUUUUAGUAGAAAAUUGAAAAAAUUCCCUCACCUAAAGAGUAUGCAAGGAAACUACUGUUUCACUUGCAGAGGCUCUAUCGUCGGAUUAUUUAACAUUAAAGAAAAUUCAAAAAAAAAAAGAAAUAAAAUGAGAAAAAAAAGAAUAACAAUUCAACUUUAGAUAUAAAUCCUUUUCUCUUAAAAAACUCAUUGCUUUUGUACAAAAAAAUUGAUACUUUUAAAUUUUCCUCAAAAGCAUUUGAGAGUUUCUAUUUUUAAAAAAAUUGAUACUUUCAACUUUUUCUUAAAACGUUUUUUUUAAGAAAAAUUGAUACUUUCAACUUUUCCUCAAAAUGUUUUUCAGAAACUUUAAUUUCGAGGAAAAUUGAUAUUUUUAACUUUUUCUCAAAAAUAUUUUUUUUAAUUUAUUUUUAAGGAAAAUUAAUACUUUUACCUUUUCCUUUAAAAUAUUUUUUAGAAAAUUAUUUUCAAGGAAAAUUGAUACUUUCAACUUUUCCGUGAAAAUAUUUUUUAAAAAAUUUAUUUUUAAGAAAAAUUGAUACUUUCAACUUUUCCUCAAAAAUAUUUUUUUAGAAUUUUAUUUUAAGAAAAUCAUUAAAAAUAAAAUAAAAUAAAAAUCAGAAUAAAAAUAAAAUAAGGAAUACCAAAUUAUUCUAAUCUAAUCAAUAAAUAAUAAUAAUAAUAAUAAUAAUAAUAUAAUAAUAAUAACAAUAAUAAUAAUACUAAUAAAAGAAAUAAUAAUAAUAAUAAAUAAGAAAAAAAACUUUUGGAAUGGCUCGGCUCGGCUUAAGAGAUAAAAGUGAUUUAAACGUGAGGCUCAGCUGGAAACAGCUCGGUUCGGCUGGGGUCCAGGCAGAGACGUGGGUCGCUAAUCAGGUUGGUGCUCGGGUUGAGUCAUCCAAUUUCAAAACACGUGGAUCUUUUAAGAAUAGUAAGGCUAAAACGACAUCGUUUUCAGUCGGUAUAAAAGGCUUCUACUUCUGUUUCUUCGUAGAUUGUUUCCUUUCUCCUCUCUCUCUUCUUUUUUUUUCUCUUCCUUCUCUCUAAAUAGAAUCUAGAUUUCGGUUGAAUGUCUAUCGAAAUCUGGAAAAACAGGUCAAAAACUUUAAAGUUGGCCCAAAAUCUCGCCAAAAAAGUUGAAUCUUACCGAAAAAUUUCACCCGAUUCUGAAAAGUUUUAGAAAAUUUCAAAAAAAAAACUCAAAAAUUCUAAAAACUUUUUCGCAAAUUCCUAACGUUGUUUCUAACGCACCAGAACUUUUUUUAACCUCUGUUUCCCCUUUAUGUAUUUUUCGAUCUUUUUAUGUGCUCUCUGUGGACCUAUUUAUAAGGAUUGAUCAGAAGAGUUUCUGAUCAAUCCCAACGCCUUUUGGGAUUUUGAUUCAAUCUUUGAAUCCAAUCCCAAUUCUGCCAACCUCCAAUUUCAUGACCAAAUCCAAUUUUUUUUUAUCCUAAUCCUAGCAGAAAAUCAAUCAAGAUAAAAUAAAAAAAACACAUAUUAAUAGUUAAUAGAUAAAUAAUAAAAAAAUAUAUUAAUAAAUAAUAAUAAUAAUAAAAAAAUAAAAUACCCAUUUGGACCAAGCCCAAUUGAUCCGGGCCCGGAUCAAAUUGGGUGUCUACAUAUGUUUGAAAAGGUUUUUGAGUCUACUUUUCGAUUAAAUAAGCGAAAUUAAAUUUGGAGUCUUUUAUGAAUAAAUAUAUAAUUUUUAUUAAAAGAUAUAUAUACUAUCUGAUAGCAACAUAUGACAUAGAUUGUAAAAGUUAUUACAAUUAAUCUACACGAAAUUACGAGGUGGGCUAUAUAUAGUUAAAAAAUUUAUCGAGUUUAAUUUCUAAUGUACUAAAAAGAUUUUAAUUUUGAGUUGGAUAUCUUAAGAUAGGGUCAUUUUAGUGAAAGUAGCAUAGGCUACUAAAAUUAGUUAGUUAACCCUUAUAUAACUUAGUUGCUUUUAGUAUUAAUGGUCUUAAAUUGGAUUAAUUAAUUUUUGUUAUAUUGAAAUGAUUUUGAAUAGCCCAUUAAUUAUUUUGGGGGAAAAACUAAGUGGUGGAACCAAAAGGAAAUAAGUAGAAUCUUACACAUUUUGCUUAUUUUGAAACUUAUGUAUAUAUGUAUGUUUCUAAAUAAAUGAGAUUUAUUUCUUUAUUUUCGAUAUAAGAAAAUAGGCUGAGCAUAUGAUUAUUUUACGUUUUGCUAUAUAAAUGACGGAUCAUGUUUAUAAAUGAAAUGAGAAAUUGAUUUAUGCUUAAUGAAUGAUUUUAUAAUAGCUACAUAUUUUACAUCUUGAGAAGUGGGAUUAUCGAUACCAAAACUAGCUAUACUACCCUAGCUAACGGAUUAUAGUAGUUAAUAUAGUCACGAUCAAAUGGCACUACUAGUGGGUCAUAGUAGUUAGUGUAAAGGUUUGGCCAGCAGAUUAUAAUAGUUAGUAAAGAUCAUAAGGAUAAAAUUAUCAAUAUUUCCAAUGUUACGGAUUAUAGUAGUGAUCAUUGUUAAUGAUAAAGUAAUGAUAAUGAUGAUUUAUGAUGAUGAUGAUUUUAAAGAUUGAUUCAUGAUUUGAUUUAAUUACGAUAUUUGAAUGGUAACAUAUUUUGGAAUGAUUUAUGAAUUGAUCUAUUUUGAUUUUGAUUUAUGAUCUACAAAAUAUUUGACAUAAUGUUGAUUUUUGAAAUAUUUUGAUGUAUUAUUUGACAAAUGUUUCGAAUUAUCUAUAUGAUAUGUAUGAAACCGAUGUUUGAUCCGAUAAAGUGCAUGAUCCUAUACUAGAUUAGCUGGAAUUUGUUCAUUCUCUUUUUACCUUUUCUUUACACAUGAGUAACUGAUAAGUAUAUUUAGUCUUACUAAAAGCUAGAAGAUCAAUUUGGAAAUAUUACUUGGACAUUAGAAAUAUUGUUAGCUAGUGAGAUCUUAUGAAAUUAUUUUAUAUGUUUUUUAUUAAUUAACCUUUGAUAUAUAGAGAUGUAUCACUAGUUAGAUUAAAUUUAUGAAUUUUACUUGGCAAAUUAUUUUUAUUAAAGAAUUUUAAAAUGAUUAAGAGAAAAAAUUUCGUAUUACUUUAAAGUUUUAUUUGAAGAUAAUAUAACGGUGUUACAUCUUAGUUUUGGGGCAUGACACCAUUAUUAGACAAGUCUUGACCAGAUUGGAUUACGUAUCAGCCAAUUUGUCAGGCAUUGCAACAGAUUUCAGGUAAUUGGAGAGUCUGCAAACAUGACAGGCUUGAGCUAGUUUAAUUUCUGCUUUUGCUUUGUGAGACUAUUCCAAUGAAGUGAGGAAAGAUAGAUAAAUUUGAUUAUGAACUCGAAUCCAUUUUUGAUAGUAUAGUUAGACUCUGAAAGGGAGGAGGUUAAGAUUCAAAUCUUCGUGAAACCUCCUUCGAGAUGGAAACUUGGGAAGGAGAGCAGCGACUCGUUUGGCACUUUUCAAAUAUGAUGCAUACUGAAGGAUGACAGGAGUAUCAUUCUUUCCUGCAUCAAUUUUGUCACGGUCCAAGCUUAUUGUCUGAAAAGCACUAGCCAAAGGCAAGACAUGGAUACCGUGACUAUUCUCCUUUCCUACCAGGUCCUUAAGCGCCUUCUUCUUGAAAGUCCAGCUGCCAGUUCUCAGGUUGAAAUGGUAUAGAGGAAGAAAUCGUUGGCCAUAGAUGGCUACGAACUCCAACGCCGCAAGAAUGUAUUCAAACUCCUCAUUUGACAUGUAGUAAGGAAAGCUGACUCUCGUCCAUCCAGGUUUUGCUCCUAUGUAGCCCUGCAAUCAAACUUUGCAAUUGGCAUUAGAUAAGUUGAAUUAUAUUUUACUUCUCUUCAUUUGGUCAAAAAAGAAAAAAAGGAAAAUUUUGUACUGAUACCCUUUUAAUAGCUUCUCUGAACGCAAGGGAUCGAGUCUGAUCAAUAUCAAGCAAACUGUGGCCAUAAGGUCCAGCACAAGCACACCCACCUCGAGCUUGGAUGCCAAACAGAUCAUUUAGGAUGGUUGCAACAAAAGGGCCAUGGAGAGGUUUAUCCCUCUUGUUCCCAGUCUCUCCCCACAUGAAAAGUCCCCUACCCUUUUCCUUUGCCUCGUCAACAUUGUUACCAUCGUUGGUUGUGGAGUAGAUGAGGAAAGACAGUAUGGCUUGUCUCUGGGUCUCGGUGCUUGCAUUUCCUAAAACCCUUAUGUUUU
rnacentral:lncRNA from 1 species